rnacentral:lncRNA from 1 species
GAAGAAAGUGGUGCUUAGUUGCUUCAUCUCUUGAGGUUACAAGGUGAGUUGUUAAGAACUUUUCCCUUUAGCUUUGCUAAUGUUCAAUUGGUGGCUUUAGUGGCUUAAUAUGAUGACAUAUGGUGUGAUUGUGGUUUGUUUAUGGUUGGAAGUGAAGUUAUGAUGGAUUUUGAUUUAUUAUUGUUAUUUUUCUGUUUUGUAUGAUACUCAUGGUUUGGUCAUGGAUUGAGGGCUUAGUAUAGUGUAAUUUUUUUUUCUUUUUUUUCUUUGGCAAACCCCGUACACGGGGAAGGGAUGCCAGCGCCAAAUUUCAUUGCAAACAAAAGAAUAAAAAAGUGAGAGGAAGCCACCUCUCCAAAAAUUGGAGCCUAUGCUCAAAGCACAACCUAUCCCUCCUCACUAUCCCUCCUCACUUAGCCAUCGAACACCUGGCACCCCACGUGAGUCUAGCACAAUAGAAGCCUAAACGAUUGCCGGCAAUUGAUGAAAAUGAUCGUAUACCCGUACGCCUACUGCCCCAAUAUCUGCUAACCUAUCUGCAUGUGAGUUCGCCUCACGAAAAAUAUGUGAGAUGGAGGCCGAAAAGCCCUCCAGAAGACCUCUAACUUUCCUCAAAAUAUUACAUAACGGCCACUUAGCAAUUACCCCAGAGACAACCAACUGCACCAAGGCCUUGGAAUCCAUCUCUACCAACGAUGGGCGAAACCCCCUUUGUAAACACAACUGCAUACCAAACAGUAAUGCCAUACUUUCAGCCUCCAACACAUCCUGUUCACCGAAUUCUUUGUAAUAAGCAAAUAUGAGUUUCCCCUGAUAAUCCCGCAACAGUCCCCCACCCGUGGCCCUACCAUGAUUCACGCUGGCGUCCGAGUUGAAUUUAAGUAAACCAAAAGGUGGUUUCUCCCAUGCAACCGCACAAGGGGUCCUCCUCCGCGGAGGGGCUGUGAUCAAACGCAGCAAAUCACAAUCAACAUCUCCCGUGAAAUGCGACCGAUGAAGCUUAUUUGCCCUCCGAAGCUGUUCCAAAAAACAAUCCACCUCGCGGAUUACCUUUUCCACCCCCCAUUGCACGCCCUGAAAAAGUUCUGGGUUCCUUGCAGACCAAAGAAACCAGCACACUACGACUGGCAUAAAUGUCCGAAUAUGGUUUUUCGAAGAGGAAGACGACGUCAAGUACCAAGAGACAAAAACUGACGCCAUGCUCGAGCAAUUAUGCAACUGAAAUCCAAAACGGCCAGACAGUCGCCGCCACACUUCCGAAGCAACCGGUCCAGUUAAAAAGACAUGCAAAAGAGCCUCCUCCUCCAGGUAACAACACCCGCAUUUAGAGGGAAAAGACAAACCCCGCGACCGCAACGUCACGUCCAAAGGGAGGAAAUUGAGCACCAAUCUCCAAGUAAAAAAUGACAUUUUUGUUGGCAACACCGAAGGCCAUAGUAAUGAGUCAACCAAGGAUAUAUGCCUCCUUUGCCGGAGCACCUCCCAUGCCGACUUAACUGAGAAACAACCCGUCGGCGAAGGCAACCAAACCAUCCUAUCUUUCUGAGAUAAGUCGAAGGGCAUGUCAGUGAUCGCAUGAAUGACAAAACUCGGAACCCACCGGGCAAGAUGCAAUUCAUCCCAUCCAUCCCUAGUAAUAAACUCUGAGACAAGAAAGUGAGGCCUCUCAGAGCCAUCCACCACACUCUCUAAUGGCUCAUGAAGAACCCAUCGGUCCUUCCAAAAAUCCACAAGGCCUACCCCUAAACACCACCUAAUGUUCGGCUCAACCACUUGACGCACCGCCUCAAGACGCCACCAAAUAGCCGUAGACCGCACUGCCGACGCCUCCGAUGGAUGACUUCCUUUGAUGUAUUUGGCAUGCAUGAACUCUGCCCAAAUGGAAUCUCUAAGCCUCAAACGCCACCAUAAUUUAGCCGCAAAAGCCCUUGCCAUGUCCUUAAAAGACCGAAAACCCAAACCCCCUUCGUCAAUGGGAAAGCACAACUUGUCCCAUGAAGACCAAUAUAUGCGCCUCUCCCCCUUUUGAUCCCAAAGAAAGGCAUUACAAAUCAUGCCCAACCGAGUGAGCACAGCCUUGGGAGGAUCCAACACCUGAAGUAAGUACAUAGGCAUCGAAGCAAGGACAUGCCGUGCUAAAACGAGCUUACCCCCAAAUGAAAGCAACUUAGUGCUCCAGUGUCCAAGGUGGGCCCUCAUUUUAGAAACAAUACCAUCAAACAAGACAUUUCGCCGCCGGCCUUUAUGUAUUGAAGCACCCAAAUAAGGGAACGGGAAAGAUUGCCUGUUAAAACCCAAAACCCUAUUUACCAACUGCUCCUGCCCCGAAGUAGCCCAUGAAGGCAAAAUAAAGGAACUCUUAGCGACAUUUACCCUUUGUCCUGAAGCUUCCUGAUAGUCCAAUAGAAAAACCUUGAUUCCGUACAAGCACUCCUCUGAACAUCUUGUAAAGAUAAGCAUGUCAUCCGCGAAGGCUAGGUAGGGCACCGUUGUCCCUGCCGAAACAAAAUACCUGCCUGGCUGACUAAGAAGAUGGUGCAGCCCACGACCUAAAAACUCGGCAAUCAGCACAAAAAUGCCAGGAGAAACUGGGUCACCCUGCCUUAGACCCCUUGAGGAUUUAAAAAAUCCAGCCGGCUCACCAUUCACCAAUACUGAAAACCAAUUAUUAGACACCAGGCGAAAGAUAAUGUCUACCACCUGUUCUGCAAAACCAAAAUUCCGAAGCAUAAACAAAAGAAAAGGCCACUCGACCCUGUCGUACACCUUUUCCAUAUCCAAUUUUAGCACGAGGUUCGGGUGUCUCAACCGCCUAUCUAAAUCUACCACCAGCUCCUGACUGAGAAGGAUGUUAUCCGUUAUCCCCCUCCCUGUUACAAAGCCCGUCUGCCACGGUGAUACCAAGGCAGGGAGAACCCUACCCAACCGAUUAGAGACGAUCUUAGAAAUAAUUUUAGAACAGACAUUGCAAAGACUAAUUGGCCGAAAGUCCUUCCAUUGCAUGGCACCCGCAACCUUAGGCAAUAAAAUAAUAGAAGUACUAGUGAAACUCCUAGGCAAACGCAUACCCUGGAAAAACGCCUACACCGCCUCCAAUAAGUCGGCCUUAAUAAUAUCCCAGCAAAACUGGUAAAAACCUGCCCCAAACCCAUCUGGUCCCGGAGCACUGUCUGCCUCCAACGCAAACACCACCUCCUUUAAUUCUGCCAUGCCAGGUAAAGCACCUAACAUGUCAUUGUCCGCCGGAGACAACUGGGGGACCGUAAAAGAAAGCUCCGGAGCGUGCCAGCCAUGGUGUUUAGAUGCGAACAAAGAUGAAAAGAACUCCACUGCUGAUCGCCCUAUAUCUUGUGCAUCCUCCAACCAUGUUCCUGAUUGAUCUUUAAUGCGAGCCACAAAAUUAAAAUUACGGCGCUGACGGCAUCGAGAAUGGAAAUAUGCCGAAUUAGCAUCCCCAACCUGCAACCAUUUGAUACCUGCCUUCUGUCUCCAAUACUCACAGUCCAACGCCAAUCUCCUUGCAUAAACCGCCUUUGCCUCCUCCAGCGCUGCUCUGGAAGCCGAAUCCCUCCCAUUGUCAAACUGUUCCUCCCGUUGUUUCAUAAUAGCCUCGGCCUCCUUCACCUUGCUAAAAAUAUUUCCAAAGACCUGGACAUUCCAUACCUACAGACAACCCUUAACCGCCCGCGGUUUAUGAUAAAAUUUUGGCAUGCCCACACCCUCCACCGGCAUCGCCCAACCCUGUUGUACCACAUCCAUAAAACCUGAAAGUCGCCGCCAAACAUUUAGAAAUUUAAAAGAACGUUUGCUUUGUCUCCCAUUCUGGCAACUAAUCAAAAGUGGAGCAUGAUCCGAGCGUCCUCUGGACAAAUGUGAGACAUGCGAAAGGUCGUACCCAUCAGCCCAAUCCCGAUUCAUUAAGGCCCUAUCCAAUCUCUGCCAUACCCUGCCAUUCGUCCACGUAAAUACCGUACCAUCAAAAGGCACCUCCGCCAAACCACAAUUGCCAAUAGCUACAUUAAAUUCUUCCAUGUUUCGUUCAUUAGUCGGGGAACCUCCCACUCGCUCCUCCAUAUUGGCAAUGGCAUUAAAAUCCCCUGCCAGUAACCAUGGCCCACGAACGGUACCCGUCAAUUCUUCCAUUGCUGACCACAACUCGCGUCGCCCCACUCUUGAGCACCGAGCAUAUACUGCCGAAAAUUGAAUAGAACACCCGGAAGAGAAAUUGAUGUGCAUGUGAAGAAGUUGCUCGGCCAUUUCCCUGAAGCACAAUGACAUGUCAUUGUACCAAAAAACCCAUACCUUAUUAUUCAAUGCUCCCAAUGCACUAUCAAACCCAAGAAACCGGCGUACCACCUCGAGCUGUGGAGUAUCCGAUAAGGGUUCCAGAAGUACCAGCAGCCGUAUUCUAUUAGCUUUGCAAAUCUUAUGUAAAUAUCUAAGUGAGUCUUUGCGAGAAGCCCCACUAUGUUCCAUACAACAAACUUAAUGGGGUUUAACAUGAGACCGAAAAGAGUAAUGAUUUUGAGAUUGGAGAUGAACCUGAUUGAGAGAUGUUUUAGCCAACCGACCACCCUUGUGCCUAGCUCCAAGCUGACCAUAUCCCGCGGCCUCUUGCUGCCCCAACUGUUCCGAACCAACCGUCACACAAUUCAGCCCCUCUCUUGUUGCCGUCUGAACAGAGGACAGCCGUUGAUGCAAAGCCCUAUGAAACUCUUUUAACUGUUCCCACGGCGCUACUUCCCCCGGCAUAUCCCCGUCCAAUUAUUGUCGUCUAUGUCUCUGCUUAGCUGCCAGAGCAUGACUCGCAGACCUGGAAGGAGUGCGCUCAAAAUCCUGAACCUCCAUGUCCGAUAUUGAGUGCAGCACAGCAAAGGGAUUGGAGGACGGCGCAAGCAACGCAUCAACCUGGCCGCACUCGUCCCUCUCGCAACCACCAAUCUGCGUUGCCACCAUACGGGCAGAGCCAAACUCCUCCUCAGUUGUAUCCCUCGAUGACGACUCGGAAAUAGCAGCAACAACGUCCGCAGCUACCGAACUACUACCAAUCGCAGCACCAACAAACUUUUCAUCAGCUACCGAAGAGAUAACAAUAUCCGCCUCUAAACUCACUAACACCGGAGCCUUCUGAACCCUAUCCAUCGCUUGGUUAUGCGCCGCCCACCCAUAGCAGCCUGCGCCUCCUCCAGCUCCAAAUGUGCAACCACCUCCGGUUCAAUAAAGACGUCAUAUUUCCCCUCACUGCCUUGGCUAGAAACCAAGGCACCAUCAUAACGCUGGUGACACACCACCUGAUUAUCCAUUCGGUCACGCUGGAGGAGCCCAAUUCCAGGCUCUUUCUGACCACUGUUAACUUUAAGCCGGUAAACCUCCGGUGCCUUCCCUAUCCUCCUGACUAAAUUUUUGGCAGGUUUGAGAUCUGGAUUCUUCCUAAAACAUUCCCCGUCGUCAUGUCCAAAACGAGUACAGAACCCACAAAACUUCAGCCAGCUCUCAUAUUCCACAUCCUGCCAGAACCCCUCCUGGUCCUCCCCAAUCCAAAUAUGGUUUGGGGGUGGCUUCGAUACAUCCAUCUCAAUCAGAACCCUCGCAAUGGAAGGGCGUUUAAGGGCUAAUGUCGCCGAGUCAAUCUCCAGACAUCUUCCCAGCAAACCAACCAAUUUGGCAAUAUACAUCGAGUUAAACAAAGGCAGCGGAAGCGUUGGCAAGGAAACCCACACAGGCGCAUAUGUCGAAUCCUGAGUUCCCUUCUUCAACAUUGUAGCCCUUUCUCUUAGCUUCGAAACAGUACAAAUUGCACCCCAAUCCGAUAAGUGUAGCUCCAGUUGUGUUCGUUCCGCUAAAUGAUAUCAAAACUGUCUUUUGAUUUUAGGGUUUAUAAUUGGGGCUUUUCUAGGGUUUCUUUGUUGUGCUACCAUUUGGUUGUUUUGAAGGGUAUUGUGGCUCUAAUUAAAGGUGUUUGAUAAUCUGUGAUUGGGUGUUGACGUUUGGUUGGAAAGUAAAGAAAGACAAGGGAAAUGCUGUCAAAAUUUUCGUGGAGCUUCUGCACAGUCUCGGGAAAUUUACUAUAUCUUGAUGUAAGAAUGUCGGAAUUGAGUUCCGUUUGUUGAAUUCUAAACUAGAUUCAUAGGGCUAUAAACCAUGUAAAUUUUAGACCCUGUUUAUGUCUGUACCAUUUAUGGUGAUUUUUCAAAGUUGACGGAAAUAUUGUACCUGUUCUGUCUUUCACUGGAUAAAGCAGCAACUUGAGGCUUGAAUUUGACUGACUUGCGGUCUGAAUCUUAUGAGGGUGUUCUCUGGGUGCCUGUUUUUAUGGAAUCUUUGAGUAUUGAGACUCUUGAUUCCGGUAUACUCGAGUAUUACCAUUCCUAUUUCUAUUUGGCGUUCGGGCCUGGUAAGAGGGUAUGAUUGGUGAACGGGAUUGGUGAUAAAGUUUCUAUUUGGCGAUAAAGUGAUGUUCUACUAGAUUGGUUUCCUUAUUUGAAAGUUGACGGAGGGUCAACGUAGUCGGAUCAAGUAAUGCAACGGGGAAUUUGGCUCGUGAGAGCCACCUGUAUCCUUUUAUUUAAGUUGUUUUGUUCCUCUCCUUAUUUGAUACACCUAUGUGAUUAAUUGAGCAUGAAGUUUCUUGGUUCUUGACUGUUAUUAUUUUGAUACCUCAUUGAGCUUCUAACUCACCCCGUUCCGUUACAGGAAACCACCUUUUGAAGACUCUGAUAUUUUGAAGCAUGAGUUGAGUUAGUUUUAGUAUUCUUUUGUAUAGCUCCUCGAUGGUUGGAAAACCUUAAAUGUAUUUUAACCAAACAAUUCCCUUUUGAAUUGUAAAUUUGCAACCAUGUGUAUAUAAAAGUGUUUAACCAUGUUCCUAAGUUGAUUUGGUUUGGAAAUGUUCUUUUCUAGGGUUAUCUAAAGUUGUUGUGCUUGUUUGGGUUUCGGACAGUGAAUGUUAUCUUCUCGAAGUUCAUUUGAGCGGUUGGUAGGGUUUACGCUCAUUCCGGAUCCGUAGUCCCGGCGAGAGCUGGGCAGGCGGUCCGCCGAACCCUUUGGUUCGCCUUAGGGGGAGGUGGGGCUGUCACAGUUGGUAUCAGAGCCUCCUUCGUGUGGUUUCUGUACGGAGUGAGCUUGGGCCAAGUGUUACGACCCCACUUCUCCCAAGGGCGAACCCAAGGGUAUCGGCGGGCCGCCUGCCUAACUCGCGCCAGGACUCAAAACUUAAAGCAAUAAAACUAGAUAAAUCGAAAGAGCACUAUAUAAAAUAUAUACAAUCCCAAAAGUUAUAUUUACAUCUUCAAAAGUCUCGAGUCAAACCACUCUAAUACACUAUAACCACAACCAGCAGAAGAUAGACCCUAAGAAGGGUCCUUAUACAAACCACCAAAACAAAAACAAACAUCCUAACUGUUCAACUAUUACAAGCCAAUCUAACUAUACUAGCAUACAAGCCAAAAGUCCCCGCGUCGGCCCCUGCUAAGGAAAACAAAAGGAAAGGGGUAAGCUAUAUGCUUAGUAAGUAAACAGGGGCGAAAGCAUAAAUUUCACGUAACAACAGUUACACAGUAAGAGUAAAGCAAAAGCAGAAAAGUAACAUCACAUAAUAAGGAUACAGGUGGCUCCAAAGCCAAUUCAUAUGCCAUGCGUGAUCUCCUGCCGACACUCCGUCGACCACACUCAAUGGUCCGUAGAACUUCACUUGUACACCCACCGACACCUUAUCACCCUCACUGGCCAGUCACCUCACAAACUUGCCCGGGCGAACGAAAUCACAAACUUGAGCUUGAGUCACAAGCUCGAGUCACAAACUUGGUCACCUUCUCGGUGAACCGGAUUCACAAAAUUGGUUCAUAACAUGAACCUACAAACUUGGUGACCUCAGACUAAGUUGGACUGACUUCGACCAAGCCCUAACCGGCUCGAAUAGUCCAAACAGGUCUUAGAUCGGGCCCACGAACUCACAAACUUCACAAAAUUCACAAACUUUACUCGAAAGUCGCCCCGAGCCACAAGCUCAAGGGUUUUGGUUCCAAAAGGUUCAUACACAUAUGCCAAGUACAAUUAUACGUUCAGAUUAGGGUUUAGGUCGAGUGCGAUAAAGUACACCCUCGCCUAAGUACCCUUUUCACAUAUCUCAAACACAUAGCAAAGAAAACACACCAAACUGGCCUGAAUACUUACUCAGAAACUGAAAUAGCAAAAGUACGAAGUCGGAUCGAAAUGAACAGCUAGUAGUGGGCCCCACCAGUUCCGCCCAACUCACCACCGUCUGAAAUAGAAGAUUGUGUCACAUAAUAUCGCAAAUGGCUACUAUCGUGCCUAAAACAAGCAAAACGGCAAAAACGACACGCGCGCACGUAAAUAUGACGGACGGAAACGGAAACGGCCGUUAGCGGAAACGGCAGAUUUGACACUCGUUUCUAUUUUAAUCAUAAGUUGAGCUACGAAUAUCGGAUUAAGGCGUAUGAGACGCCAUAUCGAAGCUUAAAGGAUGAACAACAACUGUUAUGAAGACAUCCAGAACUGAAACUGGAGGCUUCAGUCCCAAAUGAACCAAACACAAUCACUUACGAAAUCUGGCCAAUGCACAAAUGGUCAGUUUUGAGUGCAAACUGUUUUCUAUGCUACACAUGGUCAAAAGAGCUGAAAAUUGGCAGUUAGAUAGUUCAUUCCAAAUGGAACAACUUUCAUGAAGGUCGUCAAUCCAAAUUCGGAACGGAAAUUGGUCAUCAGGACCAAAACAGAUCUGACCAGAAAAUGGUCAUCUUCACGGCCAGGCCUUAUUUGCUCGGCUAUAUCUCAGGUUUUAUAAAUCCGAUUCAUGAAAUUCCAAGGGCGUUAGAAAGCUCUGAUAUAAGGCUAUAAGUUUGGUGUUUUGGUCGCAAGCCCAAACAGCUUGUAACCCAGUCAAAUGUGAAGCCAAAGUUCCAGUCGUAAACUUUCCAAAAACGUAACAGAAUUUGACGGUCAAAACAGGUCUGAGUAUUUCGUUUAUAGCUCAGGAUAUACUAAUCCGUUUAACCUGAAAAUUUACAGGAAUAUCCAGGACUUAAGGGGCUACAACAAUGUAGAAGGUCACUCAAUCCAGUUCCUAGCCCAACUAGGUCAAAAAUGCCAAAUUACUAAACCAGAACCACUAAAACAGGUUUACAAAUCACACAAAACUGUAAUCAGUAUAACUCAGUCUAUACAAGUCCAAAUGCCGAAAUUCCAAAGGCAUAUGAUAGCUAAGACAUCCAGCUACAUUUCCUCAGAAGACACCAACAACAAAAUCCAAACCAAUUCCAGUCAAAACAGACGAUUACAAGCGCAGUUUUCACAUUCUGAGCAACCCAGAUCAGCAAUAGUAAAAACGACAUAUCUCACUCUACACUACUCCAAAUGACCUGAAAUUUUACAGGCACCUCAACCACAUCAAUACCUACAACUUUCAUGUUUUGAGCAAAGUCCAAUUCGGCCUCUAACCCAAUGAUCUAAAACCGGACAGAAUAGGGGGUAAUGGAACCCUAACUUUGCACAAUUCAAUCCAAACUCAAAAUUGGUUGCAAUUUCCUAUCAUAUGCACCUACUAGAGCCAUAGCCCCUUAUUACCACCCAUCAAAAACAACCACACCAUCAAGAUCACAUAAAACCAGAAUAUUCCUCAAAAAAAUAAAAACUUAACCAAAUCACUUCAAACCAAGAAAUAAACCACAAUUUCUAACACAAUAGCCACCAUUAGGCAUAAAUUCAACAUCAUUAGCUAUAAGAGAAUGUUCAACCAUCACUUACCUAGUAAACAAGAGAAGAGGAGUUGUAGACCACCUUAGCUCUUCCAAAAAACUUCACUAAGCAACUCACUAGCACCUAAUGGAAGGCUUUUAUGGAAUAGAAACUAGGUUAGGCAAGUGGUUUGGAAGAUUGAGCUAUAUGGAAGCUUGAAAUUUGAAGCAAUUCUCUUCCUUCUUGAGCUUGAGGAAGUCGGCCACCAAGGAAUGAAAAUAAUGAAUUUUUGAGGUAAUUUUUAGAUAUUUAACCACUUGGUCAAAAGGUCAAAACAAAAGAAUAAAAAUCAUAAAGUCCACCCAAUGAUCUUGUGACACUUGGCAUCUCAUUAAAUGCAAUUCAAUCCUUUGGUCACCUCUCACAUCAAUCACCUCACACUCCUUUACUUAUCCAUUAACACCCGAUAAAUUUUUCAUAGUAUCCGGAACUUAACUUAAUUGGCCGAACUUUUCGCACUAGUGGGUCCCACGUCCAAUAUACGUUCUUAUUUUCUCAAAAGCUAACCGAUACUUGAAAAAUCAUCUAUAAACUCUAUUUACUCAUAAAAAUUAUCUGGGGAACUUUUCUAAUAAAGAAAAUAUCAAAAAGACGGGUGAACAAUCAAACUCCACUUAAGCUUUCUACUAAAAUGAACUAGGGUUUUCAAUCCUAAUCGAGGUUAGGGUUUUCUCCUUAGCCUUAAAACCCUAAUUCCACCCCACCGAUCAACGAAUAACCCUCAUAUCAGCUUACGAACGGACUGGGGCCUCACACCAAGUGGUGUUAUGGUCCCGAUUCCGUGAAUGUGUACGAAUGUAUAAGUGCUCUUUGAGCAUAAGCUAUGGAUCGUGAAGUGUUAUAAGUUAUAAACCUUUUUCAUGGUGUUUUGAGAUAGUAGAUCUGUAGGUCAGGUAAGAAUCUCUAUUGUAGAUGAAUUGCUCUUGGGACUGGCCAGCCCGAGUUGUGAAAUUAUCUUAUUCUGGGAUUCUCGUACCUGACUACUAAAUAGAUGAGAGCCUAGGUUAGAAAUAACUUGGGCAAACUCGAAAUUUGAUUCUAUGGAACGUCUUGUGAUGUGUUAGGGUUUCAUUACAGAUGAUUAACCUUGCCUAAGAUAUAAAUUGUGUUAUUCUCGUAGAUUAUGGCUGGAGCCCUAAAGAGGGGGAAAGCUUUUAAUUGGUUGCUCUUGUACCAUUGGCUUAGUUAGUAUCACGAAGGAUGUUUCCUUUUGCUCGUAUCUAAUUGACUGAUAUUGUGUGAUCUGUCUGUGUAAGAUGUGCUACAUGUAUAUUGCCUACUUUUAUCACUCAUACCUGCAUACUUUAUUUUAAUAUUGUAUUCGUACUUCAACCCUAGACUAGUUAAGCCAUAUGGAAGGCACCCGUAGUGGACGUGGUCGUGGUCGCGGAAUUAGGCAACCCACGACUGAAGGUGAUACAAGGGGAACCACGUCUGAACCAAACCUUGAAUCCAGGAUUGAUUCGAACGUACAAGUGGCUGCAGCCAUUCAACGGAUGACUGACCUUUUGGCACACGUAGUAGAACAUCAAGGUCAAAAUCCUAAUCAUCAGCCAGGAAACCCUGGCAAUCACAUAGAGGGUGAGGAUAGAGCCCUCGAAAAAUUUCAGAAAUUCUUGCCGCCGAAAUUCCUUGGGGGACCAGACCCUGACGUGGCCGAGAGAUGGCUAGAGAAGAUGAUUGAUAUAUUUGCCGCGUUACAUUAUACCGAGGAGCGACAGGUCACGUUUGUUGUCUUCCAACUGGAGGGAGCAACCUGUUCUUGGUGGAACAUCAUAAGACUGAAAUGGGAAAGAGAACAAACCCCAAGGACAUGGGUGAAUUUCAUGAGAGAGUUCAACAUGAAAUAUUUUUCACCCCUGAUCCAGGAAAAGAAAGAAGAUGAGUUUAUUAGGCUCCGCCAGGGAACUCAAACCGUCGUCGAAUAUGAGAGCCAGUUCACCAGGUUAUCCAAGUUCGCACCCGAGUUAAUCGUGACUCAGCCAAGAAGGAUAAGGCGUUUUGUCCAAGGAUUAAACGUUGAGAUUCAGAAAGACCUGGGUGUAGCCCAACUCAAUACCUUUAGUGAUGUGGUGGAGAAAGCUCAACGAGUGGAAAGCGCAAGAUUUCAAGUUAGAAACUUUCAAACAAAGAAAAGGGAUUUCCUGGAAGUUGCUCAGAGCAAGAGGAUAAGGGUACGCCUCCUAAGAUUGGAAGGGAAAACGGAGGAGCACAAUUACCGAGGAUAUCAAGUGGUGCCUCAUAGAGAGGCUCAGUCUCCAUUUCUCGUGGUCCCUGCGGGUACUGUAGGAAGCCAAAUCACACGGAAGAGGUCUGCUGGAAGAAAGGAAGAAAAUGUCUGCGUUGUGGGAGCGCAGAUCAUCAAAUCGCAAAUUGCCCAGGCCGAUCUCGAGAAGGGAGUAGGAACCAAUAGACGACCACGACCAACCCUGACCAGUCGAAGGGGGAGAAAUGGACCAAAGGUGUCGGCUCGGGCGUAUGUCCUAGAGCAACAUCAAGCCCCUGACUCGUUUGAAGACGUGGAAGGUAAAGAUUCUGGUAUUCUACCGUUUGACCACUAGAAUGAGGUAUACUAAGUUCAAUUUGAGAAGGAAACAGAAACUAUAUGAAAGAAUUCAAUGAGCUUGGCCAGUGAAGGGAUGCUAAUUGCUUAGCUAGGUACGGUGCUCAAUUCGAGUGUGAGAAGGAAGCAGUAAAAUUUUUCGUAUUCCGAAGAAGGCGAUGAUAAGGAAUUUCGAGGACGAAAUUCUUUUAAGGGGGAGAGAGUGUGAGAACCCGUAAAUUUUUCGAUUUUCUAGGCUUUAUUUUAUUUAAUUGUACGCCUUUUAUACCUUUUCUUUAUUAGAAAAAUUUUUCAGAUAAUUGGUAUGAGUAAAUAGGGUUUUUAAAAUAAUUUUUCUAGUAUAAAUUAGUUCAUGAGGUUUUAAGAGUGUAUAUCGAAUGUGCGACCCACUAGUGUGGAAAGUUCGGUAAAAUUGGGCCAAUUAGGUUACGUUUUGUAUACCGGAAUUGAUUUAGCAGGUGUUAAGAGAUAACUAGAGGUUACUAGAUGACUUGGUGUGAGAGGGACAAAAGGAUAGCCAUGCAUUAAUGAAAGUGACAAGUGUCACUUAGUGGUUAACCUUUGGACUUUGACUAAUUUCUUACUUUACCAAUUUAACCAAAAAUGACCCAAAAUUAUUCUUAUUUUGAAGCUUCUUGGCCGACUCUCUUACUAGAAGAAAAGAAAGAAAGCUCUCAACUUGUUUCCUUCAUUUCUUGCUCAAAUCUAGCAAAUCAACCGUUUAAACUUCCAAUUUCUCCAUAAAAACCCUUAGUUUAGUGCUUGUGAGAUUGUUGUUGGAAGUGGUUUGGAAGAAAGUGGUGCUUAGUUGCUUCAUCUCUUGAGAUUACAAGGUGAGUUGUUAAGAACUUUUCCCUUUAGCUUUGCUAAUGUUCAAUUGGUGGCUUUAGUGGCUUAAUAUGAUGACAUAUGGUGUGAUUAUGGUUUGUUUAUGGUUGGAAGUGAAGUUAUGAUGGAUUUUGAUUUAUUAUUGUUAUUUUUCUGUUUUGUAUGAUACUCAUGGUUUGGUCAUGGAUUGAGGGCUUAGUAUAGUGUAAUAUGGAGUGAAUAAAUGUUGGAUACGAUUGGUUGCGGAAAUUUCUGGUUAGCACAGAAAAUGACGGUUUAGGGUUUUCAAACUUCCCUAUUCUGUCCGGUACUGUUGGACCUAGUUAGAGGCUGAAUUAGCCUUAGGUUAAAACAUGCAAGUUGUGGAGAAUGAUGUUUUAUAGUUGCUUGCAAAAUUUCAACCCAAUCUGAGCAACAUAGCCUAUGAAAAGACUGAAAUACCCCUGCUGCCCUGUUUCUGUCCGAAACUGAAAAUCAGCUUUGGUAAUUGGUUAAUUUGAUUGGGAAUACUACUGAUUUGGUUGUUGAUGUCUUCUUAAGAAAUAUAGCCUGGUAUCUUAGCUUUCAUAUGGCUUUGGAAUCACUUGAAUUGGACUUUGGUAGCCUGAAUUAUGGUUAUUUAACAAGAAUGCUAUUCGUUAACCUGUUUAUGCGGUUCUGGUUUGGUACAUUGAACUUUUGACCUAGUUUCACUGCAAACUGUACUGAGUUGCCUUCUUGAACAUUGUAGCCCUUUCUCUUAGUUUUGAAACGGUGUAAAUUGUACCCCCAAUCCGAUAAGUGUAGCUCCAGUUGUGUCUGUUCCGCUAAAUGACGUCAAAACUGUCUUUUGGUUUUAGGGUUUAUAAUUGGGGCUUUUCUAGGAUUUCUUUGUUGCGCAACCAUUUGGUUGUUUUGAAGGAUAUUGUGGCUCUAAUUAAAGGUGUUUGAUAAUCUGUGAUUGGGUGUUGAGGUUUGGUUGGAAAGUAAAGAAAGACAAGAGAAAUGCUGUCAAAAUUUUCGCGGAGCUUCUGCACAGUCUCGGAAAAUUUGCUAUAUCUUGAUGUAGGAAUGUCGGAAUUAAGUUCUGUUUGUUGCGUUCUAAACUAGAUUCAUAGAGCUAUAAACCAUGUAAAUUUCAGACCCUGCUUAUGUAUUUAUCAUUUAUGGCGAUUUUUCAAAGUUGACUGAAAUAUUGUACCUGUUCUGUCUUUCACUGGAUAAAGCGGCAAAUUGAGACUUGAAUUUGACUGACUUGCAUUCUGAAUCUUAUGAGGGUGUUCUCUGGAAAGUUAUAGCGCUUUGAAUCUAUUUUCCAACGGUAUAAACUUUUACUAAUUUAGGACUUACAAAACUUGAGAUAUGAUUUUUCAUAUAGGGUUGCACGAAACUGGAAAAUCCUGUUUUCCUAGUAUCGACCUUACUUUCAUUUUCUACUUCAAAUUUGGAGUUGGUCAGUCAUUGUAGGUAGGGCUUUGAGGUUGUUCAUGCCGUUAGGACUAAUUGUUACCUCUCACUCCGAGGUCACCUCUUUGCUUUGCAUUAAUGGUUCUUUUGACUAGGCAUAUGGCUCGUAACCGAGUCUCACUUGCGAAUUCCAUACUAGGUCUUGGAGUCGAGUCUUAAGUGUUUGCCUUGAUUGUUCUAGGAGGUGCCGACGAUUAAAGCCACACUUGGGAAGGAAACUUUUGAAAUUAUCCUUAUUUGAACUGGUGAGUGUACCACUCCCUUGCAUUGUUGCUAUUUGAGUUAUCUGUACUUGAAAUCUAUGACAUGAAUGAUUAUGAAUCCUGUUUAGUUUGAUUGAGACGAGGGUGUACUUUAUCACACUCGUUCUCUUGUCUGUGUUGUACCAACUGAAAUCUAUUACUUGUACUUGUUAUGAACUUGAGCCUGCUACUUGCACUUGUUAUAAUGUCGUUUAGAAGUGUGUCCAACGACCUUCUUGUUAAACCUGAGCUCAACCUCGUGGGGAGUUAAUUAAAUCGAGCCAUGCAAGGGCUUGGUCGAGGAAAUUGACAAUCCGUGGGUGCCUGUUUUUAUGGAAUCUUUGAGUAUUGAGACUCUUGAUUCCGGUAUACUCGAGUAUUACCAUUCCUGUUUCUAUUUAGCGUUCGGGCCCGGUAAGGGGGUAUGAUUGGUGAACUGGAUUUGACGAUAAAGUGGUGUUCUAUUGGACUGGUUUCCUUAUUUGAAAGUUGACGGAGGGUCAACGUAGUCGGAUCAAGUACUGCAACGGGGAAUUUGGGUCCUGAGAGCCACCUGUAUCCUUUUAUUUAAGUUGUUUUGUUCCUCUCCUUAUUUGAUACACCUAUGUGAUUAAUUGCGCAUGAAGUUCCUUGGUUCUUGACUGUUAUUAUUUUGGUACCUCAUUGAGCUUCUAGCUCACCCCGUUCCGUUAUCCUUGUUUUCCUUAUAGGAAACCACCUUUUGAAGACUCUGAUAUUUUGAAGCAUGAGUUGAGCUAGUUUUAGUAUUCUUUUGUAUAGCUCCUCGAUGGUUGGAAAAUCUUAAAUGUAUUUUAACCAAAAAAUUCCCUUUUGAAUUUUAAAUUUGCAACCAUGUGUAUAUAAAAGUGUUUAACCAUGUUCCUAAGUUGAUUUGGUUUGGAAAUAUUCCUUUCUAGGGUUAUCUAAAGUCGUUGUGCUUGUUUGGGUUUCGGACAGUGAAUGUUAUCUUCUCGAAGUUCUUUUGAGCGGUUGGUAGGGUUUACGCUCGUUCUGGAUCCGUAGUCCCGGCGAGAGUUGGGCAGGCGGUCCGCCGAACUCUUUGGUUCGCCUUAGGGGGAGGUGGGGCUGUCACAUUAGGGGCUGUUUUAAGGAGUUUUUCACACAAAAAAUCUAGGGUUUCUCGUGUUUGAAGAUAUAAAAUCUCCCAUCAAAACUCUUGCUUUCUUGUUUUAUUUCUUGGUUUUGAACCUUGUAGCUUCCUUAUUGUUGUUGUUGCUUGGAUUUGGUUGGCUGAAGUGGGCUCUAUGUGUGAGAUCCCGAUUCGUCCUUAAUUUUGAAUAAGGAUUAUUAGUGCUAAAUUUUGCUAUAAAAUUUGAUUUUAACGAUGAUGGUAAUUCUUUACAUGUGAUUUUGCUUUUAGAAUAAAAAAACUUUAAUUUGGAAUUUUAUUAAAACCCUAAUGGAUUUACAGCUUUGAUAUUUUUACACAAAACCCUAGUUUAUGUAUUAAUCAUAAGUUUAUGUGGUAGUAAAUAUUAUGCAUGCUAAUGUAUGUUUUCGUAUGAGUAGAUACCGGAUUCGAUUUCUUUUAUAAAUGUUAAGUAGGAUUAGAAAGUUACAAAGUCUUACACUAGUAAAUUCCCUAGUGUUUUGUUAAUUAAACAACCUUAAGUUGGGUUUAAAGCCCUUAAUUGAGCUAAUGUAAAAAGAUUGUGGUUUAGUUGCUUUUAUGUGGAAUAAGGAAUAAUUAAGGAUGGGUGAUUAAGAUAAUAAGGUGAUUAUUGAAAUGAUUAAGUGUGACAAAAUAUUUUGGAUUAGAAUAAGUUGUAUCCUAUGGAGUUAAGUGCAAGAGUUCCAAACAUUUGUGGGCAAGAGUGUGAGAAAACAAAAAGGAAGUUGCAAGGACUAGGAAGUGAAUAAUCAUAUUUUAUGUGAUUGGUUGUUUGGGAAAUAUCUCUUAUGGUUGAUGACUAAGCUUAUGACUAAGCAUAAUUCUAGAAUAUACAAGAGAAAACCAAGCUAAUAAACAACAAAAUAGCAAAAGAAAAAGAGAGAGAGAGAGAGCCAGAUUUGAGAGGGAAGAAAAAGGGAGAGAAAAGCUUUUGUUUCUUGCAUUUUUUUUUCAUCAACCUUCAGUUUGGAUCUUGGAGGAACAACUUGGAGCUUGAGUUUUGGAAGAUCAACCUAAGAAACUUGCAACUAGAAGGCGGUGACGGGCUAGACGGAGCCGGUGGGGCCCACUAGCUAACGACUUGAAUUCAUUUCCGUACUUUCUCUCGUUAUACUUGCUCUUUAGGUGAGUAAUCAGGGUUUUUCUGUGUAACUCAAUACUAAUAUGAGUUUACUAUGAAUGGGCACUUAGGCGUGGGUGUACUUUAUCGCACUCGAUCUAAACCCCAUUAGUUGCUAUUAAUACCUGUGAAAUAUGAUUUGGUGAUUUGUUAUAGAGCAUUUAUUGCUUGAAUUAGAGCAUUUAUUGCUUGAACUAGAGUAUUUAUUGCUUGCACUAGAGCAUUUAUUGCUUGAACUACAAUUUUAGAGCAUUUAUUGCUUGAACAAAAUAUUUUAGAGCAUUUAUUACUCAUGACUUGAGCUGAGGCUCAUGGUCUCUCUAUCUGGGAUCCUUUAAGAGAAGCGAGCUGUGUGGCUCAGGAUCUCAAGGGUCAACCAGUGAUCAACCUCGACAAAUGAGUUGGCUUGGGAGCCACCCGUAUCCUUACCAUGUCGUGUUACUUUUCUGCUUUUGCUUUGCUCUCACUGUGCAAAUAUUGACAUGUAAAAAUUCCAUUUUUACCCCUGGUUAGUCACUGAGCUUCUAGCUUACCCCCUUUUCUUUUGUUUUCCUUAGCAGGGCCGACACAGGAAAAUUUUGGCACCAUCACUAGUAUAGUUGGGUUUUGUUUGUAAUCACCGAAUAGUUAAAAUGUUUUCCAUAUUAUAGUGAUCCGUGUAAGGACCCUUCUUAGGGUCUACUCUUUGGUUUUGGUUAUAAUCAUCAGGAUGUAAUGAUAUGGGUAGUUACUUUUGGAGAUGUAAAUUGAACUCUUUUGCCGAUGUAUAUACUGUGAAUAGUACUCUUUUGGUACUUUUAGCUUUUAUUUGCUUUUGAUUUCGAAUCCUGGCGCGAGCUAGGCAGGCGGUCCGCCGAACCCUUUGGUUCGCCUUAGGGUGAGGUGGGGCUGUCACACUAUGAACUCCCACCUUGGUUAUAUCAGGGAUGCCAUGAUGUUCAUGUGUGUGUUAGUGUAUUUGUGAUUAGUUUUAAUGGAAGAAACUAGAAGAGGAAAAAGAAAGAGAGAAACCGUGAGGAAGAGGUGCUGUCCGAAAUUUCUAGUCAUGUUGUUCUGUUUUAGUUUCGAAAAUUUUACGCUUGAUUGACUGUGAAAUUGAUGGAUAUAUGUUGUAUAGUGUGUGUAGAAAGUGCCUACCAAAAAUCGUUUCAUUUGGUUGCGUAAAACUUGAGCUUUGGAAAGAAUCAAAUCUGGAAAAACGUAUAGCAGGGGUUCUCAGACAGUUUUGUUUUUCAAACAUAAAUUUUUGUACAAAAGUCAAAAUUGAGUGCUGUCAGUGGCAUUCAAAACUAGACAUUCAUAACUUUAUAACGGUAUAAAAAUCUCCCACUGCUUCAUUUUGAGUGAACCGCAGUGAGUCGGCAAAAUUAGCUAUUCUAUUUCGAUUGUUCAUACGAAUGAAACUAGAAGCUGCGUUUUGUGGCUUGAUUUUGUUCCACUUGUGAAAAGAUUUUCAAAUUGACGUCUUCUGAUGAAUUGUAGUAUUUGGAACCUAGUUUCGAACACCAUAAACCAAUCUCAAUUUAGAGUUGUACAGAGUGAGAUAUGGUCUGAUUUCAAAAGUGCAACAAAGCUAGAAAACCGAAAGUUUUUCCUUUCUUGCUGACCGAAUGGUCAAACUUGUUUUGGGAGGUUAUAUUUUGAAAAUUUUAGUUUCAUUUAACCAUAAAUUGUUUAUUAAAUGUUUACAGAACCUUGAUUUGAAAAAUGGAUCGAUUUGGGGCUGAUUUCAUUGUACAAAACUUUUGAAAAGAGAAAGAGAGAUAGGGUGGCAGAUUAGCUUUAGAAAUUUCACGAAUUUUGGUUGUUUCGUUAACUGCCUUCCAGUGGGUGUCGCGCCCCAUUUUUUGAUAAAUAAAUAAAUGGUUUGAAAAAAUGUAUUUGUGAUUGGAAAAUGAAUUGUGAUUUAAAAUAAAAAUGGGUCUAAAUGGGACUUUUGAAAAUGCGACGAUUUGACCCAAGAAAAAAAAGUUCAAAAAGGGUUUUUUUAUAUGAAAAAUGGAGUCGCCACUUGGUAUAGAGUUAGGGUGUACCAAGUCACCCAAAAAGUGAAUUUUUUAAGGAAAAAAGUAAGAAACCCUUUUGAACGACUCCUAGUCCACGCAAACAAAGAAAAAGAUUCGGGAGUCACAUUUGACGAAGGGGAAGGCAAGGAUAAAAAUCCAAGGCACCCCUUCGACCUAGCCAAGGCUAGUUGCGUUGAUUUAAUCAAAGAUUUUCUUGUUUUAACCAAAGAAUUUAUUACAUUUGGAUGUGCUACAUGAAUGCAAAACCCUAGACCUAGGGGUAUUGGGGGAAAUUUCUCUUCAAAGAUUGAGUGGUGCCAAUCACAUUAAUUGUGAAGCCCAAUAACGAUACUUUGAAGAAGUCACGAAUAAUGCAAGUGGGAUGCAAAUGAAGGGAAUGCAUGUAUGCAAUGUGAAGGCAUGAGUUUGAAAAAGUAAUAAAAAACAAAGAUGCCUAAGUGCAAAUGUGCACGUGAGUGGGCAAGGUAUGGUAUGUGCAAUGGUAAUAUGAAGUGCAAGUGAUGAUAAAAAGUGUUAGUGUGCAAGUGAAGGGAUAAAGAGAUGCACGUGUGCAAAUGGGAGGAGAAGUGUUCGUGUGCAAGUGAAGGGAUAAAAAAUGCAUAUGUGCAAAUGAGACAAAGUGUUCGUGUGCAAGUGAAGGGAUAAAGGUGUACGUGUGCCAAUGGGAGGAAAAAAUGAAAGUGCAAUGAUAGAGUGGAUGCAUGAACCUAGGGAAUUCAUGCAUAAUGGGUACGGGGAGACCUAAAUCGUGACUCAAUUUGCCCUUUGAUAGAGAGGAUACAAGCGUGCUAAGGCUUAGAAAAAGCCAUACUCGUCUAUAUCCCAUAUUUAAGGGGACUCUCAAGCAAAUGAACCCUAUGACUAGCAUGAAAUGCAAAAAUCCUAAAAUGGAGGGAAAAGGGGUUCGAGGUGCAUGCCAAAUGAUAAAACUAAGAAAAAUGCAUGAAAUGAAGUGAAACAUGCAAACAUGUACUAACGAGGGGAAAUCCCUAAGGGUCUAGCGUUGGACUAGCCCAUUCUAUGAAUUCCGACUAGCGUUGGACUAGUGGAAACGUACAUUCACCCAUUCCAUUCAUCUACACUAUGAAAAGCGAGUAGACAUGCGAAUCACCUAAAACACGUAGCACGUAACACUUAGCAUGCUCGACUAGAUGCAAAAUCCUAAUAAAGCAUUUAACAUAUAACACAUAGGCAUGCAACCAUUACAUUUGCUAACUAAACAAAGGGGAAAGGGAAAAUGGACCAAAUUACUUGCUACGCCCUAUCUAUUACAAGCCAAGAGGUGUACACAUACCCCAUUAAUAAAAAUAAAAAGUAAAUGAAAUAAAUGAAAGGAAAUAAGGAGAGGCUAGGAAAGCAAGUAGACAUGCAAAUUUCAAUUAGCACAUUAGUCCACAUAGGAGAGAAACAAAAGGGGUAAAAGAGAUUAUACCUCCCCCUAAUGGUAAGCAAAUGAAGGAAAAUGGCUUCAAAACAAUAAAAAUGUCACGGUACCUCAAAUAGUAAAAUAUAACAAGGUCACCAAAUCUCGCCUAAUUGCAAUUUAAAUGAUAUCAAACAAUACAUAGUUUCCAAUAAAGGGAUCCACCAAGGACCCAAAUGCAAGCAUUAAUCAACCAUUCAAAGUCAAUUGAAACAUUUUAGAAAUUUUGAAAGUCCAAGAGCAAGAAAAAGGCCAAAGCCAAUUUAUUUCAGAAAAUUUAAGAAGAUAGGUGAACACAAGCUCAUUUGGACACAAAGUUCUAAAACUCUUGCAUUAAGUAUCACUUUAGCAAAACAUGGUAACCAAUGAAGGCAAACAAGCAAUUGAAUUGAAACAUUAAUGCUACCAAAGACUCAAAUGUGAACACUAACCAAGCAUUCAAGCUUAAUCAAACACUUUUAGGAACUUCAAAGGUCCAAAGGCAAAGAAAAAAUGGAGGAAUGGUUCAAAUGCAAACAUCUUAGGACCUAAUUGCAAGAACAUGGAAUGUAAUUGGGCCAUAAUGCAUUGAUGCAAAAAUCACAGGGACCCAAUUGAGGACAUUAUUCAAUUGGUUGGGUCAUAGUGAAAUGAAGGGAGACUUGGGGGGUUAAGAGGCAAUUUCCGAAAGUUAUAUUCAUGCAGACUCAUGCAAACAACGUAGAAGCUCUUCUGCAAUUUCUGCCGCAACUCUUGCAUCUCCAAACCAGGCGUGUUUCAUACCAGAAAAAUGCACAAAAUUCAUUGUUUGCCAAACCGACUCAACUAAUGGCUUAACAAACUAAAACUUAGAUCAAAGAAGCAAGAUCAUCAAAUGUUUUUCCCAGCUUUAACCUUAAACUCCUACAUUCAGCAUAAGGUUCAGAGGGAAAAGAGUGCAGAAAUCUGGAACAUAUAAAAAUGGCUUGGCAAGUUGAAAUGUGUUUUCCAGCAAGGUUCAAACAUGAUUCAAAUGUUCAAAACCCAACAUACCGACUCAAAACCAACCAAAACACUACCCUUUUCUACACCAAAAUAUCAAACUAAGAUGGCCAACUUAGUGGAGGAGCAUGGAAACAAAAGCAACUAAACAGAUACGGCAGCAUUUUUCUGCUUCAAAAUUUUUAGCCGUGGCUGUUCAUUCACUUCAGCAUGUCAAACAGGUUUAUUCAUACCAAAAUUCUACCUAUCCAUCAUCCACUAAACAUACAACUUCAUUGCAUGAUUGAAUCAAAAAGAUGGAGCUGAUCAUCAAGAGUAGAAGGAAAGCCAAACAGCAACAGAAUGAAGAAGAAGGAAAAAAAAUGCAGCGAUGAUUUCCAUAACAACAAACAAAAGUGCGGCCAAACAUUUAAUCCCUUGCAAAAGCUCAUUUCAAAGCUUACCCAUUACUCCCAACACCGAACCUAAUGCAAAAGAAAAAAGAAAUGCAACCUUGAAAUAGCAAACAAACCCAGAAACUUAAGCAAAUCCAGAUUUUUAUGCAAACAGACAAUGCAUCUGUUAACAUUGCUGCAAUAAGUUCGGAAGCUUCCUCCCACUUCUGACCAAGUUUGAAUUUAUGAUGGUAAAGUUGUGGAUGAUCUUACUUUACAAACUUAAGGUGGUUUGCUCACAGCAAGAGGAACAUGAGAAAUAGGAACGGCACUAAGCAUAAAACAGCAAAUUAUCAAACGAAAUUCCUAUAUGAAUGGCAGUCAUAUCAUGAAACCGAAAGGAACCAAAGCUUCACUCGAAACACAAACCCAUGCAAACAUUCAUUUUCAUUCUCACAAACAUCUAACCUCAGACAAAUAUUCCAUUCUUAAAACCAAAACUAGCAAACAUGUCAAUCAAAUGCAAACAGGCCCAAAUAUUUAUCAAGAUUCCAAAGGCUACCACCAAAAUGGUAACACGGAGCGCAUGUCAAAUAGACAAUAUGAGCCCAAGAGAAUUUCAUCGAGCCUCAGAUUCAUUCGUUAGUUCCAAAGCUCAAAGCUAAAGACUUUUCAAACACAUUUCUAACACCAGAUGUUGUUCAUGGUAUUUCAUUCAAACAUAGACAACAAAACAAGCAGGGUCAAUCGAGUCUAAACCUCAGCAAACAAAGAAAAAGCAACCGACAUGCCUGAGUUGUUGCAACAAGCCGAAAAAUCCAAUCUUGUUGCAGCAAGCUCUUAAGCUAAGAAUCCAAGAACAGAGGGCCACACUCACAAAAGAAAUCCAUCAAGAACACCAAAUACUUCUGCUUUUCAUAGUCCCGUUACUUAAUAACAAACAAUAUCUAUAAACAGAAGAAAAAGAAAACCUUACAGUCACGUUCUUGGUGAAGCUCUCGGCAACAAUGGUGGCGGCGAGUUCCUCUUCUGCGGUCGCCACCAGUUCCAACCCUUUUAGCUCUCAACCUUUUCCUUUUUGCAGUCUAGCCUACCCACAGCCCCAGCUCUCUUUACUCCAGCCGUCCUUUUCCUCCUCAGCCGCAAGUCUCCCUCACUCUUUCUAUCACUCUCUCUCUCAGUCGCUGUUUUUUCCUGUUUUCCCUCACCUCCAGCCGUCAACUUCAAUCCUUCUUCCCUUUCUUUGCUGGUUCACCUUUCUGCCGUCACUUUUCUGUUUCCUGCCUUCUCGCGGUUUCCACUCUCUCAAACCAGCCGUUGUUACCUAAUCUCUCUUGGCUUCCUCCCCUUUUCCUUUUGCUGUUGUCGACCUCUUUUCCUCCCUUGGCGGCUGCCAUUCUCUUGGCUUUUAUAUGGAAGUCCCCCCAACCCUAAACACCCAAACAUCUCUGCUAUAAUUGCAGCUAAGGGCUGCCGAGCCCUUCUUGCAAAGCUGCGACAAAACGCAGCUUUCUGCAUUUGUCUUUUUUUUUUUUCCAAAAGAUAUUUAACAAAACCAAAAUGAUAAUAAUAAUAACAAUAAUAAUAACAAAACCCACUUAAUUAACAUUGGAUAAAAUAAACAAACUAGAAACAACAAAAAUGCAAUUUUUCAUUUUCCAUUUUCAUCAUUUUUCCUUUUUCCUUUUUUAAAUAAUUUACCAAAAAUGAUAAUAAAAUUAAGUAAAAACCAACAAUUUGAUUAACAUCAGAUAAAAAUAAAUAAAUAAACUAGAAAUAAUAAACAGCAAAGUUGCAAUUUUUAUCAUUUUUUCUCUUUUUUUCCUUUUUUUUUCAUUUUCAAUUUUCAUUUUUUUCAUUUUUUCCAAGAAAACAUUGAAUUUAAAUCAAAACAAUUAAAACAUAUAUUUUUUUUUGAAUGCUUUUUCCCUUUUCUUUUCGAGAAAUUCUAUGCUAAAAACUUAAAAAUAAUAAUAAUAACACGAAAAACUAAAAAACUAAAAACUAAAAAGGUGAAUAAAACUAAUAAACUGAAAACACUAAAAUUUUGGUGUCUACAGUUUGCCCCUCUUUGUCUGAGUUUUGAAAAAACUUGAGACAAAGAAGUAGACACCAAAUACUUACCUGCGUUAUUUGGUUGCGAAUGUCUGGAACGACUGAGGAUUGACCCCGACAAGAAACUUAAAACGGGACUGACCCGAACAAGAAAUUUUUGCUAUCGGGACUGACCCGAACAGGAACUUUGAAAUCGGGACCGACCCGAACAGAAAUUUAAACGGGACUGACCCGAACAGAAUUUAAACGGGACUGACCCGAACAGGAAUUUAAACGGGACUGACCCGAACAGAAUUUAAACGGGACUGACCCGAACAGAAAUUAAACGGGAUAGACCCAGACAAAAAUUUUAAAUGGGAUAGACCCAGACAAAAAAAUGUAAAUGGGACAGACCCAAACAGAAAUUUAAAUGGGAUGAAUUGAAGUGAGAUGGAGUAUUGGUGGGGUUGACCCAUGUUUAUUGGUGAUGCAAAUGAAAGAAGUGAAAUGAAGUGUUAAUGGGACUGAUCCACGAUCCAGUGACUGUGAAAAUGAAAUGUUCAUUGGCGGUACUGACCCACGUUCCAGUGGCUAUGAAAAUGAAAAGCUCACUGGCGGGACAAACCUCAGCUCCAGUGGCUAUGAAAAUGAAAUGUUGGUAUGUUUGAAAAGGCUGUAUAAAACUUGCUUGGAAAAUUAUCCAAGAUUUGUCCCAGUGUAAUGAAUUGAUCAGCGGGAUAGAACCCAGUUCUGCCGAGGUUGGCGGGAUAAAACCCAGUUCCAACGUGAUAAGCGGCCAGCGGGAUAGAACCCAGUUCUGUCGAGGUUGGCGGGAUAAAACCCAGUUCCAACGUGAUAAACGGUCAGCGGGAUAGAACCCAGUUCUGCCGAGGUUGGCGGGAUAAAACCCAGUUCCAACGUGAUGCAAGCGGUCAGCGGGAUAGAACCCAGUUCUGCCGAGGUUGGCGGGAUAAAACCCAGUUCCAACGUGAUGCAAGCGGUCAGCGGGAUAGAACCCAGUUCUGCCGAGGUUGGCGGGAUAAAACCCAGUUCCAACGAAAGUAAAAGCGGUCAGCGGGAUAGAACCCAGUUCUGCCGAGGUUGGCGGGAUAAAACCCAGUUCCAACGAAAGUAAAAGCGGUCAGUGGGAUAAAAACCCGUGCCUGCCGAGGUCGGAGGGAUAAAACCCAUGCCCAACGAAAAUAAAAGCGGUCAGUGGGAUAAAACCCGAGCCUGCCGAUGUCGGAGGGAUAAAACCCAUGCCCAACGAAAAUAAAAGCGGACAGUGGGAUAAAACCCGAGCCUGCCGAUGUGAACUUGAUUUGAUUUUUGACUUUUGUGAUGAUGAUUUUUUAUGUUUGAUUUGAUUUGAUUUGAUUUAUUUAUUUUUUUGAAUUUUUUGAAUUUUUCUGACUUUUGAGAAACUUUUCAAAAAAUUAAUUUGCCCCAGUUGGAUGAAUUUUUGCAAUUUGAGUCCAUAGUUGAUUCGGUAUCGCCAUGUUGCUGCACCUUUUGAUCAAAUUUGCUUGUGACAUUUUCGAUCUGCCCUUUGUCCCCCGGAGGACUCUUCCCGACACCAAUUCGAGUGCGAGGUGUGAUUACCUUCAUCUGUGCAUACAAUUUUUCCUGUGAAAGAGAAAAAACAAAGAAAUUGCCACCACCAUUUGAUCCGUUUUCCUUCGAGAAUCGUGUAAACAUGAGUCUUUCAACGCCUUUAUCAACUUUUGCUGCGGCAGCCGAUUGAGUUGGAUUUCUUACCCUGAAGCUUUUUCAAUUUUCAAACUGACCAGGUAUGUGCUUUGCUAUAUUGUGAAAUCUGUGUAGCUGGCUUGGCUGAAUUUCAACUGUUCCCAAAAGAUGACUGAAUCCAAGCAUACUUUUUGCAAUAAACCACAGGGAUUGUCAUUCACCACAAUUCAAUGAUAAAAAAUGAGGCAUGCAAGAAAAUUCACAUGUCAUGUAAAAAUGAAUAUGCACAAGAAUGCACACCUAACAGUUGUGCUUAAAUUCUACAAAAAUGCCAUGAAUGCAAAUAAUUUGGAAGAAAUGAGUUUCCUAAGAAUAUAUUUGCAAAAGAAUGUUUUACAAAAAUGACUCAGCUUUUGGCCAACAGAUGUCAUAUUCUAAUCUCUGGACAUCUUAGCUCCGGAAUUCAAUGUUGUCAGAGGUAUGACAAAAAUGAGAAGACAUCUAAAUGGACCGAACCACCAGUUGUUCCUCUUUGUGCUUGCUCAUUGCAGAAACCUACCUUGGCGUCCAUUCGGGUUUUCACCAAGGUUGCCCCCACUCCUUUUCUUUUGUUUUCCUUUUCUCUUUUUUUCUUUUCGUUCUUGAGGUGCCCUUGUGGGUUUUUCACCUAAUGAAACAAUGGAAGAACUCAAACAUAGUCGACUCAGGAAUGUAAGUCGAAGAUUGCUGGCAUCAGUAAAAAUACGCUUCCCUCGUAAGAUUAGGCGAAGGCAUUAUGGACAUCACCUGCCAGUUGAUUAACAAACUUUUUUAAUAGAAAUGCAGCAAGUGACGAAAGCCAGGACUUUGGGCUUUUGUAAUGAGGUUAGGUGGGGUGUUUUUCAAGAAAAGUUGAGGCUUGAAAGCAGGUCUGAUGAAAUGUGUGAAAUAACCUGAAAUUGCAUCAUUUUGAAAUCAUCUCCAAUUUUUGAACGAAACCGAGGAAAAUUUGCCCCAGUUUGAUUGGAUUUUUCUUUCUUUGUAUUUUUCAUUGCAUUUUCUUCUCUUUUGCAUUUUUCUUUGAAAACUAAAUUUGCCCCAGUGUGGGGUUCUUUCUUCCUUUUCAUCUCUCUUUCAAAACAAAUUUGCCCCAGUAUGGGGUUCUUUCUUUUCCUCAGAUCUUUUUCAAAGAUAAAUUUGCCCCAGUAUGGGGUUUUUCUUUUCUUUCUGAUCAUUUUUCAAAAUGAAUUUGCCCCAAUGUGGGGUUUGCAAUUCUCAGGGGUUGCCAAACGAAAAUUAUUGUUCUGAUAGCUCAAAAGGGACGACUAGGGAUGAAAUGUUUUGAUUGGAAAGGAAGAUAGCCUGACUUUUGCCUCGUCUCUUGCAUGAUUUCCUAAAAGAAACUUUGCAUAAUCAAAUAAAGAACAUCUUACACAUGUUCGAGUUGAUAGGUUGAGAGAAUGUCUGUCCUUCCAUCUCUCAUUUGAACACCCAAUAAGCUUUGUCAAUUUGAAGCAAAUUUGCCUUCGACUUCGUCUUUCAUCACUUUGGCACUUUGUUUCCUUCUUCAGAAGAUCGGUGGCGGAUCCUUUUGUUAUGAAUAUAGGCCAUGCGUUUUGACAACGUUGGUCAUGGCACAUAGCAUUCAACUGCUUUUCAUUAAUCAGAAUCAAUCGUUAAUGGCACUGCUUUAACCAAUCAGCUUACAACCUGGCAGGAAAGGGAUUUUCUCAAUGAAGGAAUUUCUCAAUGAAGGCUUUUUUCUUUUUAUGAAGGCUUUCUCCAUGAAGGGGUCUCUCAAAGAAGAGAUUUCUCAAUGAAUGGAUUUUUAAUGGAGGGGUUUUCAAUGGUUUUCUCAAUGAAGGCUUUCCCCAGGAAGGGAUUUUCAACGAAAGGAUUUUUAAUGAAGGGAUUUUCAAUGAAGGGCUACAUCAGAUUCCAGAACAGUGAUAUUCAAAGGAUCAAAUAAUUUCAUCUUUGGCCAUCUCAAAGAAUUAACAAAAAUUCAGGAAAAUAACCAAAUAAACAAAUAAAACAAAUUGUGCAUUUCAUGAAACUCCAAAUCAAAGCAGAAACAAGACAAAACUCAAUUGCAAAAAAUGCUUUCGUUAAGCUAUUUACAUAAGCAAGAAAAAGUUUUCGUGAAUUUUAGUAAAUGACAAACCCCUAGAUUUAUCGAAAUUCCCUUUGAGAGGGAGGAUAAUCAGCCAUCCAAAUUGUGCAGAGCUCCUUCAGGAUUUUCAAAUUUCGUCAUUGGAGGUGGAUGCUUCAAAGGUGUCACUGUGUUUGGGAAAGGGGUUUGUACUUAUGUUCGGUCCUUGUUCUGCACUUCUUCUAAUCAAUAUUUCCCCGGCCUCAAUCAUUUCUUGGACUUUCUGUUUAAGUGCUCUACAAUCAGUAGUUGGGUGGCCAGGUGCUCCCGAAUGAUAGGCACAAGUGUAUUGUGGGUUAUAUCCGCCGGAGAUACCAUGGUAGGCUGGAGGGGGAAUUUCGCCGAUUUUACCGGCGGCUUUUAAUUGUUCAUAUAAUUGGUCCAAAGGCCUGCCAAGAUUGGUGAAUGUUUGAGAACGAUUUUGAACGUGGGUUUCAGUAUGUUGGGGGUAGUUGUAGGUGGGUCUGUUUGGUCGGGGAAAUUGUUGAUUGUAAGGAGGUCGGGGUCGAACUUGUUGGAAGUGAGGUUGAGAUAUUUGAAAAGGGGCCAUAGGCGAGUUGUUAUAGUUAGGCCGAGGUCGAGGAUGAAUGGUAUUGGUGUGGUAAACAGGAUGAGGGCUUGAAUAGUAAGGGUUUGAGUAGGUAGGGUAUAGUCGAGGUCUGGGUCUUGGAAUAGGGAUUCGAUUCCAGACAAAAGCAGUUUCCCCCUCUUGCCUUUUGGAUUGUUGCUUCUUCCCAUUACUACCUUGGCUUUGCAAAGCAUCCAACUGCGAUUUGAGGGCAGACACAUUAACAAUCUUUCCAGCCUUCACGAAAUCAUCAAAUUCCUCAAGUUUAUUAACAAUUGCGGCAAAUGAGCAUCCAGUCAUGCGGAAAAUUUCUUCAAAGUACGGCGGAUCAUGUGCCUUAAUGAAAGUUCGUAUGAUUUCGUCCUCCGUCAUUGGUGGCUCGACUUUUGCAGCUACUUUCCUCCACCUCUUAGCAUAAGUCUUGUGAUCCUCGGAGGGUUUCCUCUUUGUCCCUUCCAACGUAGUUCGUGUUGGAGCCAGCUCGCAAUUAUACUCGUACUGUUUUACAAAAGCGUUGGACAAGUCAAGCCAGGUCUUCGUUUCUUCGGAUUUCAGCUUGGAAUACCAAUCGAGUGCAUCCCCCUCCAGACUUUCUGGGAAUAGCCUCAAAGGCAGAUUUUCAUCAUCUGUUGGCCUACCCAACUUGUUGGCGAACAAUCGGAGGUGCGUCUUGGGAUUGCCCGUCCCAUCAUACUUGUUAAACUUCGGAAUUUUGAAUCCUUCAGGCAAUUGUACAUUUGGAAAGAGACAAAGCUCGUCAUAGUCCAGCACUCCUUGCUUGUUUAAACCCUGACUUUUCCUUAUAAAUUCAUCAAAACGGUCAAGGCGUUUGAGCAGCUUUAUAUCAACGGGAGCGGAAGAUUCCCCCAUUUCUGGCUUGGUUUGAGCAGUAUGGUCUGGUAGGAAUGGCUCAGCAGCAGUGUGAUAAAAAGUAUGUGGCUCUGGUGGUAUGUUUGAAGUGAUUUGGGGUUGUGGGCCUUGCAUGCAAGUAGGGAAAAAUGAAGGAUGAGGAGGGUAAGUGUAUGGCAAAUGUAUAGUGGGGUAUGUGAAAGCCCCUUCGGUUGGAAUAGGGAAAAAUGGAGCAACAGUGGCUUGAAUUGAAGGUAUGACAAAUGGCUCUGGCCCAGGCUGCCUGCCGGGCACGGGCUCGGGUUGAACUCCACUGCUGAUAAUCUCAUCGAUUAAUUUCCUCUGGGCCGCCAUCUCAGUGGUCAUCUCACCGAACUUAGUGAGCAUCUCAGUCAACUGAACCCCCAAACUUGUGGUCUCAGGCUGGGCGGUAGUAACAAACCUGUCUGAUGGUUCCGGUUGCGGACUCAUGUUUACACGACUCCUCUGAACUUGACUACGGGAUCGUGUUAUGAUGGGGCUUCGACGAGAAGCUAUGUUUAAAUAUUACCUGAGAAUUUUGAAAGGAAUUGCCUUUAGAUUCAACCCUUGAUUAGUUAUUACAAUAAAAAUAAAGAAAAGAAAAAGAAAAAAAGCAAGAGUUAGUAGAUAUCCAGGAAAUUCGGAUGCAUGUCCUAUGGGGGAACCCUUUUUGUGCCAAGGGUAGGCCUAGCAUGAAAAUGCACUCCUCUGAGGUAGGCACUAUACCAUACCUGAUGGAUCUGAUCAAAAAAUAAUUUUGAAAAAUUGGGUCAAUUGGAGUGACGAGAGAUAUUUUGUCAAAAUGAGAUCAACGUCCGAAUGGAUUGAUCACUUUUGAUCGAUACGAGAGUUUGCAAAAACGCACGGGUUUGACUUUGACGAACUUCCUAUCGAAGAGAUUGGAAUUCAUUGACCAAAUCGUUUCAGUGAAAAACCCCAACUGAUCAAAUGGCUGGAUGCAAUGGAUGAUUUUCUCAAAAUCGACUAGGUUUUCCAUUUUGAAAUUCGUCAUUGAAACCCUACUCGGUCAAAUGGGUUGAACGAAAUUGACAAUUUUAUUUAAAAUCGACCGCAUUACCCUAAAAAAGGGAAUCGGGUCAAAUGAAUUGAGUGAAAUUUAAAAACUUACUCAAAAUUGACCGAAUCAUUCUAAAAAAGGGAUUUGGUCAAAUGAAAUCGAGAAUUUAUUCAAAAUUGACCGGAUCGCCCUAAAAGAGUAAACUGGUCAAAUGAAUCGGACGAAAUUAAUGAUUUACUCGAAAUCGAUAAGAUCGCCCUAAGAAUGGAAAAAUUGGUGAUUUAUUCAGAAAAUCGAUUAGAUUGCCCUAAAAAUGGGUGAAUUGGCCAAAUGAAACGAAAUGAAGAUUUAUUCAAAAAUCGACCAGAUGACCCUAAAAAGGGUAAAUUGGUCAAAUGAAUUGACGAUUUAUUCAAAAUCGACCAGGUGACCCUAAAAAGGGUAAAUUGGUCAAAUAAAUGGUUUAUUCAAUUCAAAAUCGACCUGAUAAAAAGGGUAAAUUGGUCCCUAAAAAGGGUAAAUUGGUCAAAUGAAUUGAUUUAUUCAAAAUUGAUUAGGAAUUGACAAAAUGGAUCGAUUGAAUCGGCCGGGCAUUGGUGGUUUCAGAAAAUUAGUCUAUGAGCCUUCUAAAAUCACUAUUUGGCCUCAAUUUAUUUAUCGUCUCAAUGAUAAGGAAUUAUUUGUGAAUUUCUUCAAAUUAAUGUCCUUUACGCAAGGGAUUUUUACCAAUUUUGAUAAAAUGGCCAAAAAGUGAUUAUUAGAUGCUCAUAUUCCAAAGAUCACUCUACGAAAAUGAUUGGAUCCUACCUUACCUUGUGCACUACCCCUUUGGAUGGUACAAAAUGUAAACGUGCAAGUCUCGUUGGAUUAAGUAUCCGAGACACAAGGCGGCUUAUUCCUAACACGGGAUCCCCUAAAUGGCAUUCCCUUUCUAGGGUUGUGCAUGAUGCCAUUUAUUAAAGCGAUGUAAAUAUGCAAUCCGAAAUGAAACGUGACCUAAGGAACCCUUUAUUUGCCAGAGUAGGCCUAAAAUGGUAUGGCAUUAUUAAUUUAUGAACAAAAUGUACCACAAUUUUCAAACGUGCAAUAGCCUAUCUACAAGGGUAGGUCCUAAAAGGAGGUCAUGCCAGACCUCUUAUUUCCUAACGUUUGUGAAUGCAAAAGAUAAGAAACAAGGAAACGUUAGUUCAACACAUAAUCACAUAACACAUUGGAUAAUUAGAUGAUACAAAAGCAACAAAGAAAUAAGGAAAGAGGGUGGGAUCCCUCCCCUCGUGCAUGGUGUCCCUAAUAGAGUAAGGUCGACUCUACCUUAGGCAAUUCUAAAAUGGAUGCAUGAGGUUGGGGUUCACUAAUGCAUCUAGACUCGAUAAGUCAUAGGUCCCCAAGCCUUCAGACUCGUGACCAAGGGUCAUCACUCCCAAGGCCCUUUGUCGGUGGCUCGAGCGAUUCCCCAAACACCGCUACGCACACGUCGUGUUACGGCCGCAUGUUUGAGUGAAUCUAUAAAAAACCUCAACCUUCGACUAAAAACUAAGGAUAUUAACCCAAAGUUUAAAGCGGAAGAGUGAGUGACCCAUUGGAUCGUGCUACGCACACGUCGUGUUACGAUCACACGUCCAAGUGGGUCUCCUAAUCCUAACAGGGUGGAGUGGCGUGACAAGCCACUAAAAAGAAAAUAAAGAGGGAUGAAUAAUAAAGCGUAUGCGCGUAUGAUAGUGCACGUUUUGGAGGGGAGGGAUCGAGAACCCACGCAAGGCUCUAAGGUAGAAUCCCCUCCCAAAUGCAAUGCAAAGCGCGGAAUCACAUACAAACAUCCAUUCAUCAAAACAAUCGUAGGCGAACGUGUGAGGAAGUGAGUUGAUACGCGAAAUGCAAAAAUCCUAGAAAAGGGAAAAAUGCAACCCUAAACAUCCAAUGUGAUAAAUAAAAAGGUUUAAGAGAAGAAAAAGAUUGAUUAAAUCAAAUUUGCUCGGACUCUCGAAUGUCCCCAGUGGAGUCGCCAACUGUCGCGCCCCAUUUUUGAUAAGAAAAAUAAAUGGUUUGAAAAAUGGAUUUUGUGAUGAUUGGAAGAUGAAUCGUGAUUUAAAAGAAAAAUGAAUGGGUCUAAAUGGGGGUUUGAAAAUGCGACGAUUUGACCCAAGAAAAAUAGUUCAAAAAGGGUUUUUUAUAUGAAAAAUGGAGUCGCCACUUGGUAUAGAGUUAGGGUGUACCAAGUCACCCAAAAAGUGAAUUUUUAAGGAAAAAAGUAAGAAACCCUUUUGAACGACUCCUAGUCCACGCAAACAAAGAAAAAGAUUCGGGAGUCACAUUUGACGAAGGGGAAGGCAAGGAUAAAAAUCCAAGGCACCCCUUCGACCUAGCCAAGGCUAGUUGCGUUGAUUUAAUCAAAGAUUUUCUUGUUUUAACCAAAGAAUUUAUUACAUUUGGAUGUGCUACAUGAAUGCAAAACCCUAGACCUAGGGGUAUUGGGGGAAAUUUCUCUUCAAAGAUUGAGUGGUGCCAAUCACAUUAAUUGUGAAGCCCAAUAACGAUACUUUGAAGAAGUCACGAAUAAUGCAAGUGGGAUGCAAAUGAAGGGAAUGCAUGUAUGCAAUGUGAAGGCAUGAGUUUGAAAAAGUAAUAAAAAACAAAGAUGCCUAAGUGCAAAUGUGCACGUGAGUGGGCAAGGUAUGGUAUGUGCAAUGGUAAUAUGAAGUGCAAGUGAUGAUAAAAAGUGUUAGUGUGCAAGUGAAGGGAUAAAGAGAUGCACGUGUGCAAAUGGGAGGAGAAGUGUUCGUGUGCAAGUGAAGGGAUAAAAAAUGCAUAUGUGCAAAUGAGACAAAGUGUUCGUGUGCAAGUGAAGGGAUAAAGGUGUACGUGUGCCAAUGGGAGGAAAAAAUGAAAGUGCAAUGAUAGAGUGGAUGCAUGAACCUAGGGAAUUCAUGCAUAAUGGGUACGGGGAGACCUAAAUCGUGACUCAAUUUGCCCUUUGAUAGAGAGGAUACAAGCGUGCUAAGGCUUAGAAAAAGUCAUACUCGUCUAUAUCCCAUAUUUAAGGGGACUCUCAAGCAAAUGAACCCUAUGACUAGCAUGAAAUGCAAAAAUCCUAAAAUGGAGGGAAAAGGGGUUCGAGGUGCAUGCCAAAUGAUAAAACUAAGAAAAAUGCAUGAAAUGAAGUGAAACAUGCAAACAUGUACUAACGAGGGGAAAUCCCUAAGGGUCUAGCGUUGGACUAGCCCAUUCUAUGAAUUCCGACUAGCGUUGGACUAGUGGAAACGUACAUUCACCCAUUCCAUUCAUCUACACUAUGAAAAGCGAGUAGACAUGCGAAUCACCUAAAACACGUAGCACGUAACACUUAGCAUGCUCGACUAGAUGCAAAAUCCUAAUAAAGCAUUUAACAUAUAACACAUAGGCAUGCAACCAUUACAUUUGCUAACUAAACAAAGGGGAAAGGGAAAAUGGACCAAAUUACUUGCUACGCCCUAUCUAUUACAAGCCAAGAGGUGUACACAUACCCCAUUAAUAAAAAUAAAAAGUAAAUGAAAUAAAUGAAAGGAAAUAAGGAGAGGCUAGGAAAGCAAGUAGACAUGCAAAUUUCAAUUAGCACAUUAGUCCACAUAGGAGAGAAACAAAAGGGGUAAAAGAGAUUAUACCUCCCCCUAAUGGUAAGCAAAUGAAGGAAAAUGGCUUCAAAACAAUAAAAAUGUCACGGUACCUCAAAUAGUAAAAUAUAACAAGGUCACCAAAUCUCGCCUAAUUGCAAUUUAAAUGAUAUCAAACAAUACAUAGUUUCCAAUAAAGGGAUCCACCAAGGACCCAAAUGCAAGCAUUAAUCAACCAUUCAAAGUCAAUUGAAACAUUUUAGAAAUUUUGAAAGUCCAAGAGCAAGAAAAAGGCCAAAGCCAAUUUAUUUCAGAAAAUUUAAGAAGAUAGGUGAACACAAGCUCAUUUGGACACAAAGUUCUAAAACUCUUGCAUUAAGUAUCACUUUAGCAAAACAUGGUAACCAAUGAAGGCAAACAAGCAAUUGAAUUGAAACAUUAAUGCUACCAAAGACUCAACUGUGAACACUAGCCAAGCAUUCAAGCUUAAUCAAACACUUUUAGGAACUUCAAAGGUCCAAAGGCAAAGAAAAAAUGGAGGAAUGGUUCAAAUGCAAACAUCUUAGGACCUAAUUGCAAGAACAUGGAAUGUAAUUGGGCCAUAAUGCAUUGAUGCAAAAAUCACAGGGACCCAAUUGAGGACAUUAUUCAAUUGGUUGGGUCAUAGUGAAAUGAAGGGAGACUUGGGGGGUUAAGAGGCAAUUUCCGAAAGUUAUAUUCAUGCAGACUCAUGCAAACAACGUAGAAGCUCUUCUGCAAUUUCUGCCGCAACUCUUGCAUCUCCAAACCAGGCGUGUUUCAUACCAGAAAAAUGCACAAAAUUCAUUGUUUGCCAAACCGACUCAACUAAUGGCUUAACAAACUAAAACUUAGAUCAAAGAAGCAAGAUCAUCAAAUGUUUUUCCCAGCUUUAACCUUAAACUCCUACAUUCAGCAUAAGGUUCAGAGGGAAAAGAGUGCAGAAAUCUGGAACAUAUAAAAAUGGCUUGGCAAGUUGAAAUGUGUUUUCCAGCAAGGUUCAAACAUGAUUCAAAUGUUCAAAACCCAACAUACCGACUCAAAACCAACCAAAACACUACCCUUUUCUACACCAAAAUAUCAAACUAAGAUGGCCAACUUAGUGGAGGAGCAUGGAAACAAAAGCAACUAAACAGAUACGGCAGCAUUUUUCUGCUUCAAAAUUUUUAGCCGUGGCUGUUCAUUCACUUCAGCAUGUCAAACAGGUUUAUUCAUACCAAAAUUCUACCUAUCCAUCAUCCACUAAACAUACAACUUCAUUGCAUGAUUGAAUCAAAAAGAUGGAGCUGAUCAUCAAGAGUAGAAGGAAAGCCAAACAGCAACAGAAUGAAGAAGAAGGAAAAAAAAUGCAGCGAUGAUUUCCAUAACAACAAACAAAAGUGCGGCCAAACAUUUAAUCCCUUGCAAAAGCUCAUUUCAAAGCUUACCCAUUACUCCCAACACCGAACCUAAUGCAAAAGAAAAAAGAAAUGCAACCUUGAAAUAGCAAACAAACCCAGAAACUUAAGCAAAUCCAGAUUUUUAUGCAAACAGACAAUGCAUCUGUUAACAUUGCUGCAAUAAGUUCGGAAGCUUCCUCCCACUUCUGACCAAGUUUGAAUUUAUGAUGGUAAAGUUGUGGAUGAUCUUACUUUACAAACUUAAGGUGGUUUGCUCACAGCAAGAGGAACAUGAGAAAUAGGAACGGCACUAAGCAUAAAACAGCAAAUUAUCAAACGAAAUUCCUAUAUGAAUGGCAGUCAUAUCAUGAAACCGAAAGGAACCAAAGCUUCACUCGAAACACAAACCCAUGCAAACAUUCAUUUUCAUUCUCACAAACAUCUAACCUCAGACAAAUAUUCCAUUCUUAAAACCAAAACUAGCAAACAUGUCAAUCAAAUGCAAACAGGCCCAAAUAUUUAUCAAGAUUCCAAAGGCUACCACCAAAAUGGUAACACGGAGCGCAUGUCAAAUAGACAAUAUGAGCCCAAGAGAAUUUCAUCGAGCCUCAGAUUCAUUCGUUAGUUCCAAAGCUCAAAGCUAAAGACUUUUCAAACACAUUUCUAACACCAGAUGUUGUUCAUGGUAUUUCAUUCAAACAUAGACAACAAAACAAGCAGGGUCAAUCGAGUCUAAACCUCAGCAAACAAAGAAAAAGCAACCGACAUGCCUGAGUUGUUGCAACAAGCCGAAAAAUCCAAUCUUGUUGCAGCAAGCUCUUAAGCUAAGAAUCCAAGAACAGAGGGCCACACUCACAAAAGAAAUCCAUCAAGAACACCAAAUACUUCUGCUUUUCAUAGUCCCGUUACUUAAUAACAAACAAUAUCUAUAAACAGAAGAAAAAGAAAACCUUACAGUCACGUUCUUGGUGAAGCUCUCGGCAACAAUGGUGGCGGCGAGUUCCUCUUCUGCGGUCGCCACCAGUUCCAACCCUUUUAGCUCUCAACCUUUUCCUUUUUGCAGUCUAGCCUACCCACAGCCCCAGCUCUCUUUACUCCAGCCGUCCUUUUCCUCCUCAGCCGCAAGUCUCCCUCACUCUUUCUAUCACUCUCUCUCAGUCGCUGUUUUUUCCUGUUUUCCCUCACCUCCAGCCGUCAACUUCAAUCCUUCUUCCCUUUCUUUGCUGGUUCACCUUUCUGCCGUCACUUUUCUGUUUCCUGCCUUCUCGCGGUUUCCACUCUCUCAAACCAGCCGUUGUUACCUAAUCUCUCUUGGCUUCCUCCCCUUUUCCUUUUGCUGUUGUCGACCUCUUUUCCUCCCUUGGCGGCUGCCAUUCUCUUGGCUUUUAUAUGGAAGUCCCCCCAACCCUAAACACCCAAACAUCUCUGCUAUAAUUGCAGCUAAGGGCUGCCGAGCCCUUCUUGCAAAGCUGCGACAAAACGCAGCUUUCUGCAUUUGUCUUUUUUUUUUUUCCAAAAGAUAUUUAACAAAACCAAAAUGAUAAUAAUAAUAACAAUAAUAAUAACAAAACCCACUUAAUUAACAUUGGAUAAAAUAAACAAACUAGAAACAACAAAAAUGCAAUUUUUCAUUUUCCAUUUUCAUCAUUUUUCCUUUUUCCUUUUUUAAAUAAUUUACCAAAAAUGAUAAUAAAAUUAAGUAAAAACCAACAAUUUGAUUAACAUCAGAUAAAAAUAAAUAAAUAAACUAGAAAUAAUAAACAGCAAAGUUGCAAUUUUUAUCAUUUUUUCUCUUUUUUUCCUUUUUUUUUCAUUUUCAAUUUUCAUUUUUUUCAUUUUUUCCAAGAAAACAUUGAAUUUAAAUCAAAACAAUUAAAACAUAUAUUUUUUUUUGAAUGCUUUUUCCCUUUUCUUUUCGAGAAAUUCUAUGCUAAAAACUUAAAAAUAAUAAUAAUAACACAAAAAACUAAAAAACUAAAAACUAAAAAGGUGAAUAAAACUAACAAACUGAAAACACUAAAAUUUUGGUGUCUACAGUGGGAUUUUUUGUAUAAAAUUUGAUAGAGAAGUUCAUAUAUGGAAGUUUAAGAGUACUAGAUUUGGUGCGAUUUCAAUGCCAUUUCGAUACUCAAAUAAUGCCCCAAAUAUUCCUCUUCAAAUCUGAAAAUUCACUGAACAGGGUACAAAAACCAACCACAUUCCAACUGUUGUAUCUUGUUGCUCGAAACUCCAAAUUUGGUUUCGCUUCUGGUUUUUGAAACUUUGUAUGGGACUCUUAUUGUGUUACGAAUUUCAAAGGUUAGUUCACUUUCUGUGAAUUUUACCGAAUUUCCAAAGAUUACAAGAAAACCAAGACUGGUUCAAACCUGUCUUCUUGGAACUGGAACUUUGAGCUGAAAAAUGAAUGCUUUCUGUUUGGAACCUUGAAAAAAGUGUGUUCUAGAAACUUUUAGUACUAUGGAUCUAGUUUCCAACGGUAUAAAGUUUUCCAUUUUUAGACGUACCGAACUCAAGAUCAGAUUUUACCAAGUUUGUCGCGCAAAGUUGAAAAUUCUUGAUUUCUUAGGAAAUGAGUUUUUAAGAACUUUUCAUUUCCUUUGUUAUUGAUAGGUCGUUUUGAAUCCGGUUUCAUGGAGGAUACGAGUUAUCCCUUGUGACUUUGAACUCUCACUUUUGAAUCUUGAAUUUCACUAGCAUGAAGCUCUUUUAAGACAUUGUCUUAGUAUUACGCAAGUGUACAUUCUUCCUUGUUUGGCAAGGGGUUUGUAAGUAUUGGUAAGUGAUAGAUAAUUGUUAUUUCUUCAGGCACUCAACAGGAUCUUGAAGAGAAUCUCAGAGCCGACUACUAAAGAUCUUAUUUGUAUUUACUCACUUAUUUUGAAUUGGUGAGUGUUCCUUGUAGGUGUUUGUGACUUGAAUAGUUUUGCUACAUGUUUACCGCAUAUUUCUUGUGUGUUUGAGUGUUAAGUGUUAUCUAUAAUUGCUCCUAUGUAAUUUUCCACCGUUUUAAGGUGAGUGCGUACUUUAUCACACUCGACCUAUGAAAAUAAUAAAUUUCUACCGCUUACCGGUUUACUUAAUUAUUUGCGCAUGUUGUAAGCUCUUAGUUGAACUUGACCCUGCCCGUGGUUGCUAACCUGCUUGAGCCAAGACUGGGUUCGGUCAGGUAGGUUGGAAUCUUGGGCCACCGUAUCGGUAUACUCGAGUAUUACCAUUGGAGGAAUAAGGUGUGGCCAGACAAAUCGCAGAAAUUAUUGGAGUUAUAAGGUGAAGCUGACCGAACAGUUCCACGUGAACACCAUAUCCUUUUAAUGUGUGCUUAUUUCUGUAAAAUGAUAAAUGUCUCAUUUUAAUGUGCCAAUGUGAAAUCUUGAACCAUAUAUGUGUUAUGCUUAAAUUACUUGAUUUAUUAGAACUGCUUAGGUGUUUUGGAACCUUACUGGGCUGUUUAACUCAUUCCACGCUUUUGUUUUCCUUAACAGGGUUCAAGACCGAGAGUGUUCGCGAAUAGUACUAAAUUGUUUUCUUUAGAGAUUUUAAGUUGUGUUAUAGUAGAUGGUUGUAGUACAUAUUCUUUUGGGUUGUAUUUAAGUUUGAAAGUUAACUGUUGGUAAGUAUGAAAUGUUUUGGAAUACUUUAAAUGUAUAUUGAAAAUAUUUGAAGUAUUUCUAGUUUUUAAAUUAUGGAUUGUAGCGAGUCCUGACGAGAGUUGGGCAGGCGUUCCGCGAAUACCCUUGGGUUCGCCCUUGGGAGAGGUGGGGGUGUCACAAUUGCACCAUUUAAACACACUUUCAUGGGUUAAAUUUUGUUGAAAUAGCCAAUGCAUGCUCUUGGUGUACUAUGUAAAUUUUUUGUGAUUUUUGGACAUAUUAUCUAGGCAUUUUCUGGUUGAUUCUACAAAUGUUAGAAGGUUGUUUUCACUCUUCUUGAUUGAUUAAGGCUACUUAUAGGGCUGAACUGAAGCUUUGCUUGUGAUACUAGGUUGCAAUGGUGGAUUUUUUUUUUGUGAUUUUUGGCUGACAUCUUGUUGACCUUCAUGGCAAUUUUCCAGUAUUUUGUGGUGUUAUUUCAAGCUCCUUAGUUGCAUUUUGCAUAUUGAUUUGGUAUACUGGGGGUUUGUGUGGUAUUCUUUUGGCGGAUUAUCCGCAAAUAUUUUUGGAUUGAUUUUGAGGGGUACUUCUUUAUUUUGUGGUGAUUUUGACCAUGCCUCCGCGUACCAAAAAUGUUAGUGGGGCUCCCGCUUCUCGAAAACGGGUGAGGCCAACCAUGAGUGGAGGUAGUUCUAGUCGAACUCCACCUCAGUUUGACAAUUCUCAUUUCUUGAGUGCCAAAAAUGAGCAAUUGUAUUGGGAUAGAAUUGGUAAUUCUGUGUUAGUUGAGGUGGACUUAGGUGCUAAUUUUAAUAAUGUACAUCACGUUUGUGACUUGUUUGCUGAGUUUGGUUGCAGUCAAAUGUUGGAUUUACCUAUUGACUAUUAUCCUGGACUUGUUCAUCAAUUUUAUGCAAAAAUAAAGCAUAAGGAUAAGCUUAGGGGGGGAAUGCAUAACUCUCACUCGGCAAUUUUUAUCUGAUUUUUUGGGUGCUAAGAAUGAUGGGCCUCCGUUUGAACAUGGCAAGACUACCAUCACUUAUGACUCCAACCGAGUGUUUGAAACUACUUUGUAAACUAAUGAUCGAACCAAACACAUAAAGCUGAAAAUUUUCCAGCAACAAACUAUCAAGAAAACAACUUACCUCCUUCCAUACAAGACUAAGGUUGGAAAUAAAAUCAUGUUGAAUUGUGGCAUUGUUCUACCAACAAUUUUGGUUCGCUAAUCUGUAUUGUACACAAGUUUUGUUAUGGGCAUAAGUUUAGGAAAAUGAUGGCUCAAAGUGGUGAAUCAGACGUUACCUAAACUCACGAUUCUUUUAUAGGAUCUAGAUUUGGCUUAAUGGUCUGAAUUUGAAAAAUUUAACCCAAAUCUAAGAAAUACGAUGUGCCUAGAGUAGAUCUAAAUAAUUCUUGACCUAUUGACAGCCCUAGUGCAUACCAUUCAAUCUCUCUAGUAUGACAUCUUAAUUAUAGUGGAAAAUUAAAAUUUUACCAUUCUAAUUUGUUUUAUUUGAAACAUAUAGCAGUAGAAAAUUAAGAAUUUUAUCAUUAUAAUUUGUUUUAUUCGCAACAUAUUGUCAAUAACUCGAUACUUUCACAUAAAAUUAUCAUUCAACCUUAAAUGUGAUAUCUCUUGAACCUACAUUGUUACCAAGCCAUUUCAAACAAGGAAAAAGAACGGAUGCAUGUGAAUUAUUUUGUGAAUACUAGGUACCUACUUUAUUUGACUAUAUGCGAUUGCUCUUCAAAAUGGCUUGAGAACUCAAAUCCAAGAUCGAACGCAGUUAUAUUUCAAUACCACUACAAAUUUUGAUAAGAAAUGACUCCUCCAGUUCUUCUUUAGAUAUAGGGUUUUUAAAUCCCCAAUUUUAACUGCUUAAUAGCGUUUAAAAUUCAUCCUUCUUGCUCACAUGAAAAUUAAGUAGUAUUUUUUCUCUUUAUUUAACACUAUUAUCUAUUUUACUGAACUUGCUCAAUUGAUAAAUUUUCUAUAGCAUGUAAGCCUCUGAUUUGUGUGGUUUUAAAUUUCUUCCUUCUCCAUUUGAACCAACACACAAAGGAACAUGCCACCAUGAAAAAAAUAUAUAUCUAAAACCCUCAACACGGCCAACUAGAAAUUUUUAUCCCUACGUUUUCACAGUAUCAGCAUAUCCUCACUAUACUAAAAGUGCGCAUUGGAGUUGUUACAGUACUCAUGGACCGGUUAUCCGGUAAUUUUGAGCAACUUCGGUGGCGUUUUCAUAGGCAGAUAGACUGGUUAUGCUGUAAAUUUUGACAAUUCUAGUGGCAUUUCAUAGGCAUUUGUUUAGGCUUGCCCUCUUGCUCCAGAGUUCAGACGCUAGAAUUCUUUCCUCUCUCCCUCCAGUGGCAUUUUUUAGGAAGCAUAUAUGUGUCAUAUAUAUAAAGCUUAAUGCCCUUUACGGUGUUGCAUUGUUAGUUCUUUCUUCUUCUUUUUAUUUUUUUUUUUGCCUUUAUUAUAAAGGAUAAAAUGGAUUUAUUCUGUAACAAAAUAAUAAAAUAACAAUUUUACUAUAACUUCGAAUCUUCCCAUAUUUCUACAUUCAAUUUCUCCAUGUUUAUCUACUAUAUUUGACACACAUUUCUUCACUUUUUCUUUAUUAACAUCACCCAAAUUAAACCCAUGCACUUGUUUCCCCUAUAAUACUUCACUUUUAUAAGAGAAUUAUUAUUACAAAUAUUUUUAUUCUAAUUAGUUAUGUAAACAUCUAAGUGUGCCUUAAUCAGUAUUAUGUAUAACAAGAAAAGAUUUAUUGAACAUGUUUGAACUAAUUCUUGAUAAGAAAUUUCAGAAAAGUAAUGUACUACCUAACCUCUAGUUUUAGAUACUUUUAUUCAUAUUUUCUUCAUUCAGAGUUUUAGCUCUCUUGUCUAUGUAAUCUUGAGAGAAAGCCAUCUGAAAAGCAACAUAUUGAAUGUGUUUCUUUCUCCAAUUGAAGACCUGGAUUUGGCGAUUUUACAAGGUGAAGUCUUCACACUCUCACCUAACCGGUCUUGUUUAAACUUAUUUCAUUCUUGAUUAGAUACAAAUAGUAUGUGCAUAAUUUUAAAAGUGAUCAGCGUCACCAUAUUUAUCAUAUUUGUAUGUACUUGUACAUUUUAAAUGAAUGCAUCAUUUAUUUAUAGUAUCAAGAAUUCGCAAAGAUCUUAAGCCAAAAACUGACUAUCUAAGAGAAAAUUACAAAUCAAAUGAGUAAAUGAGUAACAGCAAUAUUCAAUUUACCUAAAGUCAAAUUCUCCACAUUUAUUAAUACCUAUCAUGUAUUAAAUAUAUAACCAAUUUACAUUAAUCCACUUGCCUUCAUUUGAUCUUGAUUAACAUAGGCUCAGGGCAUCCUCACGCAUCGCGUGAGGCUGAAAAAACUAGUGUAAAUAAAUACCAUAAAGGUCUGUGGCCAAGUCACCAUAGUAUUGGCAUCUAGAAGCUAAAUAUUCACUUUGCAAGUAGUAACAAAUACAAGAUAAAUAUUCAAUAACAACUUAUCAAAACCGGCCAAGGAAGAAUUGUUAGUCUUUCCCGUUAUUAUGUUCAGAGUUUGAAUCCUAUAUAAAAUAGUUGGAGGUAGAAAAAGUGUGAAAAAGGGUAGGAACGUUAAAAAAAAAAUACCAGAACCACUGGUGCCUUAAGAAUCAUUAGAGUAACUCUUAAUUAAGCAUCAAAUAUUAUACCUGUCAUCAUUGACAAUUAGAGUGAUAAAUUACACGUCACUUGUUCUCUUCUAUUGAGAAUUGUUAUCCAUUUACUCAUAAGUAUAUAGCUUGCCCACACAGUCAAGAAAGGAAUCAAAUAUGAUUACAUAACAAAAAAUAGAAAUUUUUAAUUCCUAUGAACAUACCUUACUUUGAUUAAAAUCCAGCGUUCAACAUGACAAAAAAGAAUAAUCCUCAUAAUGUUUAGGGUAAAUACGUGAGACCCCAUUGUGGUUUGUGUUAAAGUUAGCCCAAACCUCCGUGGUUCGGACAUUUCUACAAGUGCCGUUUAUGAUUCCUAACUGAUGAAUAGAAAAUGGAUGGAAACCAUCCAAAUCAACAAAGAGUGUAGUCCACUUGCCUUCUAUUCAAGUGUCAAUUAUCAAACACGAUUUUUUUUCAUAAAAUAGUCAACUUUUUUCCAAGAGUAUCCUUAUUUUAUUUUUCGAAAAAAUCACUCAAAUUGUUCCUCACAUUUCGCUUCACUCUAAAAUAUUAACUUUACAUCCCUUACAAAUUCAAGUUAACAAAUUUUGGUCCAAAACUAAAUUUCUAACCAUUUCUUAGCCUAAAAUCUCCAUGUGACCCACAUGCAGUCAUAUUUUGUGUACAAAAAUGUUAGAUUUCAUUUUUUUUAGUAAUAAAAAUGCUUAUGAAUUGGGUCCAAUUACUCCUUUUUAGAGAAAAAAAUUAAUAUAGUUUAGAUCAAAAUUUGCCUUUUUCAGGGUAAAAAUGAACAUGGAUUCAUUUAACUAUAAAUAGUAUCUAAUCUUUUUAUCUUAGAAAAAUAACGAUGUAUGAUUUACGUGACAAAUUCAAGAUAAAUAAUGGUCAAAAACAUAGAUUGUAACCAAAUUUUAUCAACUUGAGUUUGCAAAUGACGUAAAUUUAAUAUUUUAGAAAUGAAUGACAAAAAGAUUCAUUUUGUGGAAUAUGACAGAUAUUUUAAAUAAUUUUUUCUUUUUGUUUAAUUUAUCUACUGUAUCACUUCUCCUUGUCUUUUUCCAAUCGUUUCCUUUUUUUUUCUAUUUCAUUUUUUACAGUAUUUUCCCCUUUCCUUUCUCUCUUGCAUGUCCUCCUAAUUUGCUCCUUCCUCUCUUCUUUAGAUCUUUUCUUCUAUUUGGCUUCUUCCUUUCUUCUUUUUUCCACUUUCUUUCUUCUAUUUGUCCACCAAAUUUGAACCCAUCUCUCUCUCUCUCUCUCUCUCUCUCUCUCUCUCUCUCUCUCUCUCUCUCAGCUUUUUCUUAUGCUGAAAUAAGAUUCUUCCUCCAAAUCGUGAAGGGUUUCAUCGUCAUUGUCCUCAUUGUUGCUUUGGCAUCACUGUAGCUGCCGAAAGAAAGCAAAAUAAAUAAAUAAAAAGUAGGCGUUGAUUUGCUUGGAUUCAUGUUCAUCCACCCUUUCCCUUAUUAAAUUGGUGAUAUAAUGUUGUUCCAAGGGUCCUAAGGAUUGUUUUAGUAAAUUUUCUACAUGGAAUUUUGGUAGACAAAAAGAGAUAGACCCAUUUGGUUUUGUAGGAGGAUCGCAUUUAUUCAACCAUUUUUUUAACUUAACUUUGAAAUCGUGAUGUGCACGAAAUUAAAGUUUUUAAUGAUAUUUCUACAAAAUUUUACCACUAGUUGAUGGUGGCUAGUGGUUGAUAUUGGGAGCCGUGAAGAUUUGUGAAUCUACCAAUGGCGCUUGAACGUUUUGACCAGAAAAUGAGGAAGGAGGAAAAGAAAAGGUAGAAAAGAAAAAAGAGAGAGGAUGAAUAAAAUGAAAAAGUAAAGAAAAGGAAAAAUGUUAAUAAGAAGAAGGGCAAUAAAUAUGUUUCAAAUCUUUAUGUCGGUUUGAAUGAUAUUCAUCUAUUUUUCAUAUCAAUAUUAUAAGGUGGUCUUAUGAUUUUUUUUGAACUAUAGAAGAUUGGAAUAAAUUUUGCUCAAAUCACAAGGAAAUUUGUUUGUAUUUUACACCUAAAAUUUACCUUUUCUAAUGAAAAAGUUUGAUUCUGUAGAUAAUUUAUAUUGACCGUUUUUUAAUGCAGGUGUUAAAUCAAAUUUCCUUUUUUUAUUAGCAGGCCAUAUAGAUUUGGAAUUAUUACUCCCUUGUACUAAAAGACACGGGCAAUUGGAAGACUUGGAUACUUAGGAUUUUAUUCCAACUAUUUAGUUUCCAUUAGUUUCCUUUUUACCCAAACAAAGUGAUCCAAUUAGAGAAGGUUUAGAUAUUGAAGAUUCCAAGUUAUUCAUAUGAAAUUCGUCACAUAAUCCAAAUCCUCCCUCUAAUCUUAGCCCCAGAGUAAUUGGAAAUAAGUGACCCAUUUUUCCUUGCACAAAAAUCUAGUUGUUUAGUUACAUAAUUUAUGUGCCCCUUUUACCAUCAAUUAAAUACCAAUAAAAGUUUUGAUAAGUUCUUCUCGAAAAAAAAUUGCCAAAAGAAAAGAGCAAUUCAAGAAGGAAAUUAGCGUUGCUGAUGCAGAGGAUGAGCCGAACACAAACCGAGGAUAUCAGAGAGUCCGCUACAUAAAUUCACACCAGCUCAGCCAAAGCUUGAAAAACUUUUGGUUGUCAAUGAACUUUUCAAGCUUGGGUCUAUAAGCAUAAAUUUAUUUUUACCAGGAGAGUAAUCAAGUGGUGCAGCACAUUGAGCUCACCUUGACAGAAGCUUAUAUUAGUUUGAUGAGUUCAUCAAGCAAAUGAAAGUUCAAACACAACUUCAGACUAAAAAACUAAACCAAGCUUGAACCACAUCUCACCAACAAUCUCAGUACACAAUGAUGCAAAGACGAUUCCACAUAUGGAUGUCAGAAUGGGAUCGAGCGUUUUCACAUCUCACCGUAGCGUCCAGUUUAUUUUGAUUUCCGUGAAACUCUUCCUAUGUUACUUGCCCCCAGCUACAUGUCCUUUGGACCCUUCACCCACCCACCCGCCCGCCACCAAUGGAAGCAAAGCUAGCCCCCUAUGUUGGUUGGGGGAAGAGGGCAUUUCCUUCGUGAAGGAUUCAAUCAAGCCACAGGUUCCCCUACCACAAACCUUGUUAUGACCUCACCCCAGUUGAAGACCCCUACCGUGGUAUGUACCAAUAAAACCACCAAUAGCCUUUAUGGCACUAGCGUGACACAAAGCCUACUUCAACAGAAAAAAGAAGGCAGAAGCAAUGAAUAAUUCUACAAAAUGCUACUUUACAUAUAAGCUAAUAAUACACAAAGUACCUAGUAACAUUUGGCUCAUAUGCAGAUGGAGUGACAGAAAGGAAAAAAAAUCAAAGAAAAAGGAAGAUUCCUGGGUAAGCUGGUAUACCAAAGGAAAGUAAAAGUAAAGAUAGUUGUUCCUAGUGUUUAACAAUACUGUCCUAUUAAUAUACAAAAAGAGGUCUAAUCUUUCCACAAUGACUGCUCACUGCCGGGGUACAGGUGGAGUUGCUGACUGAUGACCUUGGGCAUAGAAUCCAAUACCUGGAGGCCGAUAAUAUCCACCAGCAGCUGCCUGCUGCUGCUGCUGAGACUGCUGGUUCUGAAGCUGCUGAGGAGGUGGUUGCUGAGUUGGUAAAGGAGCUGGCCUAGCAAAUCCCAUUGGCAUAUGUGGAGGCAAAGGUGGAGGUGGAAGGUUGCUUGAACCAUAUCCAUAGGGAACCCCUAUCAUCAUUGCAGCAGAUUGGCCUAACUGAGUUGCAGAAGAAUUUCCAGGUGUUACAGAUUGGGGCGGUGGCGGCGGCAGCGGUGGUGGUUGCGGGAAUGUUGCCUGAAGUUGGUUUCCCUGGGACAUAAGCUGCAUCCCAUUGGCUGCACCAACUGGCAUGUUACUUACUGUCUGCUGUGCAGAAGCAAAGAAUGCAGCAUGACUGCCAUCAGAAUGAUUCACCUCAGAAAAACGCACAGGAUUCUCUACCUUUGGCCUUUUCUCUGGGGAUCCAAAAGGUAAACUAGAAGAGAAUCCAGUUGAAGUUAAACCAUUACUCAUAGAGGCAACCUCUUCUGCAACAAGGGAUGAAAGAACAGAAGUAAGCAUCUGUGCAGAGGAUGUGGAAGCAGCAAGUUUUGCCACGACAGCAGCUGCUGCUGCCUUCUUAUUCUCCUCUUCAUUGAGUUUUGAAGAAUUAAAAGUUAUAGGAGGGGUUGGCGGAAGGAUAGGCGUGCUUGAUAACUGGGUCAAAGGCAAGCUUGCUUCAGCAACCCUUGCAGCCUCCAUAAGUUGGCUACCAGCAUUAGAUUGGGGAGCCAGAUAAGAUGAUGAUACCAGCUUCUGCUUUACACAUAAAGUUUGCUCUAUCUGACUGCGGGCCACCUGUAUGUGAAAUACAACUGUCACUAGGAAUACCAAAAAUGAACAGCCAAUUUUUUGUUGAAUAUUGCAUGAUAACUAAACUAUAUCACUUAACAGAACAUGUUACCUCCAUUCAACAAAAACAUGUUAUACCACUCAGCUGAAUAGAAGUUUUGAGCAGCACAGGAGGUGUCAGCCAAAAUGUAACCUAGGGAAUGCUCUAAAAUAUAGGCAAUGAGCAUUUUAGUAAUUUUCAAUUUUUCUUUAAUAUGAGCACUAUCAUACACACAACAUGAUGAAUUGUCAACCAUAUGUACAUUUUCUGUUAAACUUGCAGAUGUGAAGGGUCAGUUUAGAUUAAAAAAUAAAAAAGAAAAAACGACGGCAGUGAACAACCAUAAUACAUGUACCUGCCCCCACCGAUCCAAUUCUUCCCAAUAUUGACUUGUAAAUACUCAUUAUAGGUGUGUAGGUUACGAGAACUUUAAUGUUCUAAACAUUUUUCAAAUAUAAAUCUUAUAGAAAAAAUAGUAGUUAACCAACAAAACCACCACCCAAUCAAAUAGAUGACGCACUCCCAAUUUAAACCUAGAAACCAUGUCACAGCAACUAGAGAAAUUUGACGAUCAGUAGCUUAACAAAAACGAGACAAAUAUAAAAGAGCAAUUCACAAACUUAAAAAGUGGAACAUCACUAUUUAGCUAGCGCAGAACAUCGAAGUAAUUCAUCUAACCCACUACCCUUUUUUUCGGGGAGGGGGGAAGGGGGGGGGGGGGUUGGGGUCAUAAGGUAAUGUUAAAUCCCAUUUACCAGAUUAUAACAUUUCAUCCACACCCCUCUUCCUCUUUUAUUUUUCUGAAAUUCAGUUUAUUGACUCGUACAGAAGACAAGCUUGAUUCACAAAUAUGUAGAAAAAAAAUUCUGGACCACCCAAAAAAAUAUUAAUUCCUCCUUUAAGAGACACCCCAACAACAUGAUGCAGCCAUUAGUUGGAUUUAGAGAUAAAAACAGAUUUGCCGAAUAUAGGAGAAAAUAUUGGUUGUCAAGAGUAUAAUUAAAUAAACUGAUUUUCAGAUAGGAGAAUAAAGGAAGACCUAGUAACAAAACCCAGCUUAGGAAGUAACAGGGAGUCUUACCUCCAAUUCAUUGUGUAUCAGCUCCAGCUUUGAUUCCUGAAAAGCAACAAGCAGUCAGGAAAUAUAACACUCCAGAAAUGACACUAGACAACUAUAAAAGGCAUACUUGAUCUUGAAGUGCUUCAUUAAGCUGUGAAACCAAUGCAAGCCUAGUAGUUUCAAAAUUUUCUAGUUGAGUAACACAAUGCCUAAGGGCAUUCUCGUGUUCUUGCAUCUUUUCUACCAACUCUGAACCUUGCAGGCUUCCUGUCCAAUACAGAAGAACAGAUGCAAGAUAGUCAAAUUUUAUCAACAGUGAACAAGUUGCCAGUUGAUUGGUACAUCUAUUCCUAAUUUCUAUUCAUAACCUGAUACACACUUUGCAGAUAUAUGUAAUUUAGAGCUAUAAUGGUUAAGCUACAAUACUUUAAGAUGCAAAAAAAGAUCCUCUGUACAAUCUAGACUAGAUUUCACAUUUCACACAAUGCAAUAGCUAUCAACUGGCUCAGCAACAUCUUGCAAGUCAUUCAAAGCCCAAAACAGAAGCUUAAUGACAAGCAUGAAACUCUAUUUUGUGUAGAGGGAUCGACCUUGAUGAUUAAAAGAGUACCCUAGUGGUUAUUUCAUUUUCAUAUGCUAGUCAAGUUUAGAUUUUGAUACUUUGAAUCACCAACAACACCAUUAAAAAUCCACUCGGGUCAUGUACGAACAUGUUUACUACUUUAGAAUGUUAUGAAAUUUAAUGGAAUUUAUGUUGAGAUAUUUAUAUGCCAAAACAAAAUAUGGUAGGAUAAAUAUGGCAGAAAUCUUCUAGUUUUCUCUACCUGCUGACAACACAUGCUUUGCUAAAGUUCAUCUAUGCUUACAGUUUCAAGCCCAUAAUUAAGUUCAAAUCAGCCCCUAACACUAUUAGGAUGAGUUCUCAGCUGCUACAGCAGUAUGUUAGCUUCACCCCAGCCUAAUGACAGUAGAAUAACUGAUAUUUUCCUUAGGAUUUCUGGCUAAUUUGCUCCCCAUUUGUAUUUUACAUGAAGAUCUGUAAUUCAUUAUAUUUAAUGCCAACAUGUCAAAGUCCGGAUCCACUAUGAAUCAAUUUGCAAACUUGCACCUCCCACAUCAGAAACCGAAUAAUAAAAAUAUCAGCUAUGAACAUUCCAAGUGGAAAGAAAUUCUGAGAUUUUGUUUUGACUUGUGGCAUAGCAUACUUAAUAGAUGAUGAAAAAGAAUAGGCACAAAAGGUAGAGAGUGAACGUUAACAAAAUUCCAACUUAUGAAUUUUCUUGUUCUUCAAUGAGCAAAGAGGAUUGUCAAAUCAGUCAGAAGCUAUGUCCAUGUAAUUUAGCUGCUUAGACAAAGCCCCUCAAAGGGACUCAGGUAAUCCACAAAUGUAAGUUAGCUGCUUAGACAAAAUGCCUUCAACACCUGAGCUGUGACCUCCUCCUCCUCCCCCUCCCCCCCCCCCCCCCCCCCAAAAAAAAAAAAACACAGUUUCUUUUCUAGUAUUUUCAACAUCAGAGAGGUGCACCUUCUUGCAUCUUUUUUCUUUCCUUCUAUAGGAAAUCUAGCAUAAGAAAUCUUUGACUGUCACUCACACAAAUGUUGUCCAUGAUAUCAUGUAAUCACAUGUUCUAAACAAUCCAAAAACCCCCAACUCCAAAAUCUACAGCAGUUGAUCAGUGGACUGCCACUGAAUCUAGCACUGAUCGCAAAUUCAGAUUCCUUCCAUCACUAUCAAACAUCUCUUUCAAACAUGGGAUGCCACAAUCCAGUCACUUCUCCUAUACCAUCAUAUCAGGAAUUCUUAUCCUGGAUAUCCUGUGAUACUGAAACUCUGCUAAACACUGUCCCAUAAUCCAAACGGCAAGUUCAUUCAAUUCCUUCAUCUUGCAUGACAUACUUUAUCUGCACUGCGACACCUAGAUUCCACUGAUGGAUUUGUAAACCUGACUUCUCAUUCUUCAUACUUCAUACUUAAAACUAGAAAUGACUUCUGACUUCCUCCCUGAAGGAACCUGACAAACCAUUUCUUGGUGAAGUCUUGGUUGAUAACUACAACAUUCUCUAACCCAUAAUCCUCCAUGAUUCUAAGCACUGGUACUUGCUAAUUGAUAAUCAAAUGUUACUUGCAACUACCAUUUGGUUCUUCACAAAUGCAAGCUCUUCAGCUUCUGAUUCUUUUUUAGCCACAGUUCCAGGGGUCCCGAACAUGUAAAAAAUGAGUAAAAGAGGUAAAAGUAAAAAUAAAAAAGGAAGGCAACCUUGAUCACACUAAUCCAACUUCCCCUUUAUCUAAUCUUUUUCCAGAAAGUUAAGCUUCAUAGAGAGAAAAGAUAAUCAUUAUACAAUCGGAAUUGGAUUAUGAAGUAUAUCCAGAAAAACCAGGAGAUGAGGGGCGCGAUAAUCACCAAAAGAAGCAAACUGGCCAAACAAAAGUAAAGGCCAAGUUUUCGUGCCCAUACAAAGCACCACAUAGCCAUCCACAGUAGUAUGACAGCUAAAUUGCUAGCGCAGCUAAAGCUUCAAAGUGUACCUGUUCUUGUCACAGAGAUGAUCAGAAGCAGUGUUUGGUAACCUCCUAACAACUUCAGUUAUUUGGUCAAAAACCUACCAGUGUUUUUUUUUUUUUUUUUGGAGAAGUUAAUGAUAUGUUUAAGAUGCACCAAGAGGGUACAGCUAAAGAUAAACUAGUAAUCUUCUUACACAGUUAUGAGCCCCAUCUAAAACAAAAGGUAUACUAUAAGCUGAGUAGUCCAAAGGUAAGGGCCAGAGUUGACAUUUUCGUUGUUCCUAAUUUUGAUGGCCUCCAUAGAAAAAUGUAUUUUACCUCUCUCCUUGGUUUCCAAAAGAUACACAAUGGGAACAUACACGUGGAAAUUCACAAGGCACGCAUUUACUUUCAGCUCUUUCAGGUGUAACUCCAACUAGCAAGAUUUUCUUAACCAUGCCAGAAGCACACCAAGCAAAUAUUUCCGUUGCUUGAUAAGGGAAAGGUACGCAUUACAAUACCUGUGUAACCUAACUACCAUAAUUAUAUUCAAUACACACUAGAUCAGUUUUUUACCAGAAACCAGAAGGGAAAAGUAUAAUUGAAAUCUUGCAGAAUCGCAACCAAACAAGAGAGCAGUCUGAAAACUCGUAACACCACGUACCCACUUUCUAGAUUGUGCAUGAAACUCAAAUCCUCAACAUGUACUUAAUCAACCCUCUGAGUGCACUCAGAAAAGUCAAAUUACUACAAAACUAGAACAAAAAAAUUGAAUGUCAAAAACUGAUAAACACAACUCAAUUGGUGUCACACUGAGUAAACAGUGAUGCAUGACCAAUCACUCCCAGAAGGCUUCCUCUUCCUAUGUAGGCAUCCAAAAGGAUGUAACCAUAAAAAAUUUAACUGAUUCACAGUCAGGACUAAAUGAAUUUCCAAAAAAAUAUUCAACUCAUUAACAAUAUAAGUGUUUCUUGGAAUAUGAUGGAUUUGGACCUUGGAUGAUCCAAUCAUUGCAUGUGCCCAAUUGACUUGAGCUUAGCAUAUGCCAAACAAAUUUUGGGCCCUAACGUUGUUUGGCCUUUACGGCUUCAAAUAAGUGUAGUUCACAAAUUUGGCACUUGUUCUCAUUGCUGCUGAAAAAGCUGCAAGGAUGCCUUUGUCGUUCCCCUUAUGAUGGUGGAAUAACUAUCAACUUCAUUAUUGUGGUAAAAGGUAAUACUGGCAAGAGGGGGGAGAGAGGAAGAGAGAGUGGGAGAGAGACAACGGAAUCCUUUGGUAGGUCAGUUUCAUUUAGCCACAUUAAACGACUGAGGGAAGCUGGUCUGUGACAAGCACAUCUGUUGUAGUGUUGUCAUAGUGCUGUGUCAAAUCGAGAAUUUUCAACAACUGAAGGUAACUAAGAACAACAUUAAACAGGCAAGGAAGUUGGUCAACAGGCUCAAGUAAAAGAGCUUACAAAAAAUUAGAUACUUUACCGGUUCAAACUGUAGGAAGAUCAGGAAAAGUUUAAACCAUUUCCCACAGGAUUAUCAAAUAGCAAUGCAGAGGCCAGAAGCCUGACUAUGUGCAUUAUAGGAAUUGUUCAAAGAUCACCAAUAAGUUCCUUUCUGUAACCCUAAGGAACAUGAUGUUCUACCAACUUUUCUGGGCCUAGAUUUUUUCAAUUGUACCUUCAAAUAAUUUGUAGAUGUAGGGUAUCAUUUCUCCAUUUUACCACUUGAGACUCAAGGGGUUCACUCGUUCCAUAUUGAGUCUUCCACAAUUCCCAGAACCCAUUCAAGUUCCCAUACACAUAGAACUUUUACUUUAAAAUACAUUCCAAAAACUUCUUUAUAAGAUUUACAUGACCAACAUACAACUCUGUGCCCAUACAAACCUUACUAGUGUAAGAAUAGAAACCCAAAUAGGAACUAUAACACUACAUUAUAAAAUAAUGUUGAGAUCGAUUCUAAAAACCAGUUACUCUAGGAUUAAAGUUUAAAUGAGUAUAAUGGAAUAAAAUUGUCCUCAAUUUAAAAGUGUUACAAGUACUUACCAUGUAACAAGAUGUAAUCAAACUUGGACAUUAUAAAAUGAGAACAAAUGAACAAUAUUCCAACUAUUCAACCUAAUCAUCAUUUUGUCAAAUAUAUUACUAACAAGCUAUUAGUUCCUCAAAAUAUAAUACAACACAGUAAUGGCAUGUCAUUAACUUAACCUACAGGAAGUAAUUCUUUAUCACCAGUUUUGCGUCCAGACAGAUACACUACUCCAACCUGUUUAAUUAGCAACAUUAUCCGAAUAAUUAAGUUUGACGAUUUUGGAAUGGUGGAUUUUAUGGAUUUUCAUGCAGUUUCACUUAUAAAUUUGAUGUAUUCUUAAAUUCUAAAAUAAUAAUUCUAGUGCCAUGUCUUCUUAGAAUUCCAGGAUUCAAAGGAGAUUUAUAUUAUUGCAGCAAAUGCUGAAUAGAUAGUCCUACAGGCACAUAAAGUCACAUGACACAGCACAAUAGCUUGGAGGCCAGAUAGGCCUAGGGCUUUAAAACUCGCAGUCAAUAGCAAAAUUAUAGGCAAAUAGCAGGUACCAAAAUUCACUAAAAGUCAGAUC